UUGUUGAGAUUCUUCAGAAGUCUAUAUAUUAUUUUUAUCGAGAAGUAAAUAUGAAUGUAGAUGAAUUUGUAAAAAGCAAAUGAAAUGGCCAAUAGUUAGGACCCUAACGGCCGCUCGAUAAUGGUCUGGCGAUGUUUAAAGCAUUGGUGUGAAAGGAAUAUUUCUGGAAAUCAAACACAAAAUGUCUUGAUUAUACUCCCUCAGCUGAUUUCCGAAUCAUCCUUGUGAUUAUUCCUUCGAACGGUGUAAGGCCCAGGUUUGAAUGUUAUACCCCACAACCCUUAGGUUGGAUAAAUUUUUUGGAGGUCGAACAAGGCGCUGGAAUUCCGGGUCAGGGAUCCAUGUACCCAUGCCCCUAGGCUGCCUAUCGCAACUGUGUUAAUAGGGCUUGAGCCUCCCAAAUUGCUAACCGAACACAACAAAAUGGGCUAAAAGAUACUCCUCUAACAUUGUCAAUUUGAAUUUUUUAGAUUCUUCUAACAUGAUAUAUAUUGAUAAGUAAAUAUGGAUGUAGAUGAAUUUGUCAAAAAACAAAUGAAAUGGCUAAAUUAAUCAUUGCAAUGGAAUAAAAAAAAAAAAACUUUUCAUAAGCAUGCAUCACUUUUGGAUAUAUUGGAGUUUCUAGAAAUAAUGAGUUGGUUAAUUAAACUAGAAUAGGUUUGGUGGUUUGCAUCCAAUGCGUUAUUAGUUAGUACGUAAGAGAAAAACAAAAACUAAAGGACCAGAAAACUAAACACGUCAAAAGACAUGGGUUUCUUUACCUUCUGCGCUCCUAAAUUUAGACCCAUACCCCCUCCUUGAGUUGUUUAUAAUAUGAUCUCCAUUCAUCCAUUGCUUAAACCAAACGAAUAAUUUAUAAUCACCUUAGCAUCAAUUUAAGAAACAUACACCUUGAGUAAUGGAGUCCUCAAUCGGAUAUGCAACUUUCAUUGCAUCCUUGCUCUUAUGUCUCUCAUCGUUUCCAACACCAUUUGCAAAUGCACGAGCGUCUCCAUUAAUUAGAAGUGUUUGCAAGCAAACCCAAGACCAAUUUGGCUACAACUACAAGCAAUGCAUAAAAUCUAUGUGGAAAGAUAUUCCAACUCGGUCAGCAUCUAAUCUAAAAGAUCUUGACACAUCCAUUCUUAAAUUAGCACUAACAAAUGCACAACAAAGCAAAACUUUCUUUGUCAAUAAACUCAACACCACCGGCAACAAUAUUGUUAAGGGUUCUGGAGCAGUAAAACAAUGUGCGGAUUCAUAUGAUUUUGCAGUAGACGGUUUCGCUUUCUCAGUGAGAGGGAUCAAAGAUAAUGACAAAUCAGUCUCCGAAAUACUCACACAAGUACAAGAUGAAAUUGUUCGUUGCGAAAAGGCAUUGACCUCUACCGAAAUUGAACUUCCUUAUUUAGAAUCUUCGACAAACUUUUUGACCAUGUUAUAUAGGGAUGUUGCAUUCCUCAUUACUUCCCAGUUAUUCCAUAUCUAGAAAAGAUACGUGAACAAUGUAUUAAAUUCAGUACGCAUUACUUAAAUACUAAAAAAUAUACAUAUAAUUAAUGUAUGUUUAAUUUGUAAAAGAAAAGGAAAGAAUGAAAAAUUAAUGUAAGAAAACAAAAAAUUGUUUUAAUAUUGGAUCAUUCUAUGUUGUUAUUUUGGUUGUCCAUAUAUACUACACAUAUACCUAGAUAUACUACACCUUGACCCUACAAUAAUUAUGGGCACUGCGCACAAUAAAUUAUAUAUGCCCUUUGAGGCCAAAGAGCACCAACAAUUGUGCCCAUGAACCAAUAGCAACAGUGCAGCAACUAAAAUAUUGUAUGUGCCCUCUAUGAGUGUCACCAUUUGUCAAAGAGCACAAUAAGGUAUGCUGUGCUGAAAAGUUAAGCACAAAUAAAGGUCAUUUUGUGCCAAGUUCUUACAAAGUUGUCAAAUGACUGCUGCCACCCAUGUAUGUUAGCACAUUUAUUGUUAUUGUGCCCAAUAUGUCAACUAUUUCAAAAAAAAUUAAAAACUGAAAUCACCUACAAAUUGAGAUUUGAGGCUAAACAAAAAAUUAUUUUUUCAUAAAAUUAAAACAGCCCACAACCACAAGCAUCUAUAAUAUUACAACUUACAAAGAUAUUCACAACCAUUAUAUAUAAAAACAACUAUAAUUUUACAUGUUCUAUCCCCAACUAAAAUAAAACUAAAAUUAUAAAGGUUUUAAGUGAAUAUCGGUUCUCUUAUGAAUAAGAACAUCAAAUAUUAAGGUUUUAAGCGAACCUGCACAGUGAAAGUGAAAGAAAAUUGAAUUGUCCAUUUGGUUACUAAGAAAGUGAAAGAAAAUUGAAGGGAAAGUUGGGAAAAAGGAGAAUUUAUCAAUGGUGAAGAUGCCAAUGGUAGUUUCUAGGGUGGCCUCCGGCGACCCUCCUUUUUUGCUUGCCCACAUCUUUCUGACUAUCUAGAUCGAUGUAGCUUGAAGAAGACAAUAGUAGGAAAGAAAAUCAAGUAGAUCUAUAUAUUUUUUGAAAAUCAAAUCAAAUAAGAGAGAAUUAGAGAGAGAGACCGAAUCUAGGAUUUGGGAAUGUAGAGAAUAAAGAUGGUCCGAAUCUGGGAGUUAUGCCUUGGAUUGGUUCAUCAAAAACCAUCAGAUCGGGAAAAGGAAGAGAGAUGGACCGAAUCUGGGAAGGUAGAGAGAGAAAGGGAGUCGGAGAGAGAGACAGAGGUCGACAAGAGGAUUCUAGAGGUAUAAUUAGACGGUCGUUGGUGAUGGGUGGACAACGACUUUGUUGUAUGAAAGAGGAGGGAAAGAGAGGAUAGGGGAGAAAGGAAGACUGCUGAGGAGGACAAAGAGUAGAGUUUAAGAGAGAGGGUGAGAGAGGAAAGGCGUGAACUAAUGGCGCGUUUACUAAUCCGUAAUCAAAUUGGAAGGAAUUGAAUUGAGGAGGAAUUGGAUUAGGGAGGAAAUGAAAUAAGGCGGAAUCAGAAUCGGAUUCCUGUUGAAGUUGUUUACUAAAACUGUCUGGAAUCGGAAUAGAAUUCCAUAAAGCUGUUUACUAAUUCAGCAGAAUCGGAAUGUAAACCAGUAUGAUUACUAAAAUGCCCUUGUUCCAAGUAAUGUAAAUACUAAAUUGUCCUUGUUGAAAAUAAAUGAUUUUUAUGCUAUAAUUAUUGAAAAUUAAGUUUAUUUAUAUAAAAUUAAAUUUAUCUUUACAAACUUGACUUUUCUUCCUCCCAUCCUCCUAUCUCUAUCUUUCCUACACCUUAUUCCAGAGCACCCCCGGUCGACCUCCCAUGCCUCUCCGUUUCCUCUCAUCCCCAUCUUUUCUUUACCUUCUUCCAGAGCACCCCCAGUUGAUCUCCCAUGCCUCUCCGUUUCCUCUCAUCCCCAUCUUUUCUUCGACUUCCAGAGCACCCCCAGUCUCCCAUGCCUCUUCGUUUCAUCCUUGCUGCCUUCUUCUUUCCCACCGCGCACAACCCUUCCCACCACCCAUCAUACUCAUAGGUCCUCCACGCUCCCCAAUCCUUCAUAUCCUCUUCUUCCCCAGCCCCCACAACCUCCGAUAUUCACAGAUCCUCCCACUGCCUCCCAUAUUCACAUGUCCUCCCACCACCCAUGCGACCUCCCAAUUUGGGUGGAUUUGCAGAAGACGAAUUAAGAGGGUAAUUUAGGAACAAAAGUAUGAUUCCUGGAGGAUAGCAAUACAAGGAAUUCAAUUACCACCUGUUGCUAGAGAAUCCGACUCCAGGAAAUUUCGGAGUGUGAUUCCGGAAUUCAACUGGGUCCCACACGAUUUUUGAUUCCUCUCACGUUAGUAAACACCGGUGUAAGCCGUAAUCGGAAUUCAAUUCCGUUUCUUGAUUCUCAUUACCUUUACGUAAACGCGCCCUAAAUGUAAAGGAAUUGAGAAUGGGAAAAAGUAAAAGCAAUGACAUGAAAACUUACUUUUAAUUUAAAUAUAUUACAUCGGAGAGCACAAAAUCUUUUAUUGUGCUUUCGUAAAUUAACAAACAAAUCUUAUUUCUAACAUUUAUAAGGGUGACACAUGCAAGUAGGCACAAAUACACUUCAUUUUUGGCACAAACCAGUGUUCUUUUUGCUUAGAGAGCACAUAUAAAAUAGUUUUGUGUUCAAUGAUACUCAACACGCACAGAUAUGUAUUGGUGCUCAAUGAAAAUGAAAAGGACACAGAUCAAUUGUGUUCUUAGCCCACUUUUCUUGUAGUGUGAAUUCUUAAGAAUACAAUUUGCUAUGUAUCUUUAAUCUUGACAGCAUCAGUGGAAACUUUCAAACUCUAAUUCUUUGUUGAUUAUUCAAAUUUGAAAAGAUGAAGAAAAGAACGCAUGGCAAUGUGCAUAUAUAACCAUAAUAGCAUUUCAAAUGACUGCACAACAUGGAGUCACAUUGAUACUGAUACAAUUACACUUUGAGGUUUGGAUUUUCUUUUUCUCCACUUUUCUACUGCUUUCAGUUUUCAAUGAGUUUUGGGUAUACAAUCUCACAAAGAAAAAGCCAAUUGGCAAGAAAGAGAUCUAAAGAUUGGUCCGUUGAGCACCCUUCCGUUGAUAGGAUACAUGAGUCAAAAGGAAGACUUGAUUUCAGAGAUGAAGUUGGUUCGCUCAAUGAAUUGUCGUGGUGCUGUGGGAAUCUCGACCUCCAUCUCCGUCCGUGCAAGAAAGCGACAUGAUAUGUUGAGGCAGGUGGGAAUUUCAACAACUCAAAGAAAAGGACCGCGCAUCACCACACCACUUCCAACUCAAGGUCCGGUGGCAAUAUGCUAACUUCCUAGAAGCCAAGGGUAGUACUUUCUGCCAUUGGAAAACUAGUGGGUGCAUUCCAACAAGUCGUAUUCCACUUUUAGAGACUAGUAAAACUUUAAUAUCGAUCACAUCUGUUGUAGCAAAAACAAAUUGAUAACUUUCAAUAUGGGCUUCAACUCCGAUAGUUACAUUAGGUUUCUAUAAGCCCUCACUACAUUUUGGUACAAAAUUAAAACUUAAGAGCUAGUUUGAUAACCAAUUCGUUUUAAGUUUUUAAUUUUAUUUUUAAUUAUAUAGAUUGAUGAAAGCAGUGUGAAUCGAUGUUCUAAAAAGUAGUCUAGACAGCUAGCCAGCACCACGAUUAAUUACUAAAUGGUUAGAAAAUCAAGUAUGGCACCUACGUGGGUUUAGGCAGAAUAAAUGUUUGUUUUGUUUUGUUUAAUUAACUUUGAGUCUUGACUCACCCUUUCCCAGACAGAAAAAGGAAACCAAUAAUGCGAUGUGGUCGUCUCUUUUUGCGAUAGUUCUUUGAUGUUUACAUUAUACAAUUUAUUUAUAUUUAUAUUUUUCAUUUUAAGUUUCCCCAUUACAAUUAUAAUUUUCACUUAUUUAUUUUUUUUAAAUAUAUAUAUGCACUUAUUUGUAUGUCAUAUAAUAAAUUUAAUUAAGAUAAAAAAAAACCUUAGGCAACUAGUUAGAACCCUACCCGCCGCUCGAUAACGAUCUAGCGAUAUUUAAAACAUUGGUGUCAACGGAAUAUGUCUGGAAAUCAAACACAAAAUUUAUUGAUUAUGCUCCCUCAACUGAUUAUCAAAACGCCCUUUUGAUUAUUCCUUCGAAUGCUGUAAAGCCCAAGUUUGGAUGUUAUAAUCCACAACCCUUAGGUUCCAUAAACUUUCCGGAGGCCGGAUGAGACACUGGAGUUCCAGGUUAGGGGUCCAUGUCCCCACGCUCAUAGGCCGCCUAUCGUAACCUCGCUUAAUAGGGCUCGAUCCUCCUAAGCUACUAACCAAACACGACGAAAUGGGCUAAAAGAAACUCCUCUAAUACCAUCAAUCUGAAUUUUUUAGAUUCUUCUAACAUCAUAUAUAUUGAUAAGUAAAUAUGGAUGUAAAAGAAUCAGUUAAAAAACAAAUGAAAUGACUUAAAUUAAUCCUUGCGAUGUAAUGAAAAAAUCCUUUUGAUAAGCAUGCAUCAAUUUUUGGUUAUGUUGGAGUUUCUAGAAAUGAGGAGUUGGUUAAUUAAACUAGAAAAGGUUAGGUGGUUUGCAUCCAGUGUGUUAUCAGUUAGUACGUUAAAGAAAAAAUAAAAACUAAAGAACCAAAAAACUAGUCACGCCAAAAGAAAUGGGUUUCUUUACCUCUGCACCCCUAAAUUUAGACCCAUUCCCGCUCCUUGAGUUGUUUAUAAAUAUGAUCUCCGUUCAUCCAUUCCAUAAAUCAAACAAAUAUUUGUAAUCACUUUUUCAAUUUAAGAAACAUACACCUUGAGAAAUGGACUCCUCAACCGGAUAUGCAACUUUCAUUGCAUCAUUGCUCUUAUGUCUUUCAUCGUCUCCAACACCAUUUGCAAAUGCAAGAGCCUCUCCAUUAAUUAGAAGCGUUUGCAAGCAAACCCAAGACCAAUUCGGCUACAACUACAAGCAAUGCGUAAAAUCUCUUUGGAAAGAUAUUCCAACUCGAUCAGCAUCUAAUCUCAAAGAUCUUGACACAGCCAUUCUUAAAUUAGCACUAACAAACGCACAACAAAGCAAAGCUUUCUUUGUCAAUGCGCUCAACACCACCGACAACAAUAUUGUUAAGGGCUCUGGAGCAGUAAAACAAUGUGCAGAUUCAUAUGAUUUUGCAGUAGAUGGUUUCAUUUUCUCAAUACGAGGGAUGAAAGAUAAUGACAAAUCGGUCUCCCAAAUACUCACACAAGUACAAGACGAAAUUGUUCGUUGCGGAAAAGCAUUAACCUCUACUGAAAUUGAACUUCCUUAUUUAGUAUCUUCGACAAACUUUUUGACCAUGUUAUAUAGGGAUGUUGCAUUCCUCAUUACUUCCCAGUUAUUCCAUAUCUAGAAAAGAUACGUGAACAAUGUAUUAAAUUUAGUACGCAUUACUUGAAUACUAAAUCAUAUACAUAUGAUUACUCUAUAUUUAAUUUGUAAAAGAAAAGAAAAUAAAAAAUUACUGUAAGAAAACCAAAAGUUGUUUUAAUAUUGAAUCCUUCUGUGUUGCUCUUUUGGUUGUCCAUAUUAGACAUAUACCCAAUAUACCACACGUUGAAUUCUUAAGAACACAAUUUGCUAUGCAUCUUUAAUCUUGACAACAUCAGUGGAAACUUUCAAACUAUAAUUCUUUUAUUGAUUAUUCAAAUUUGAAUAGAUGAAGAAAAAAAUGCAUGGCAAUGUGCAUAUAUAACCAUGAUAGCAUUUCUGAUGACCGCACAACAUGGAGUCACAUUGAUACUGAUACAAUUACACUUUUGAGUUUUGUGGUUUGCAUUUUCUUUUUCUCCACUUUUCUUCUGCUUUCAAAUUUCAAUUAGUUUUGGGUACCCAAUCAUACCCAAAAAAAGCCAAUUGUCAAGAAAGAGUUCUAAAGUUUGGUCACGUCGAGCACCCUUCCAUUGAUAGGAUACACAGGUCAAAGUGAAGACUUGAGUUCAGAGAUGAAGUUGGCUCGCUCAUUGAAUUGUUGUGGUGCUGUGGAAUCUCGACCUUCAUCUCUAUUCGUGCAAGAAAGAAAUAGAAUUUGUUGAGGCGGAAUUUGAACCAUUCAAAGAAAAAACCGCGUUCCACCACACUAUAGGGGCUUUGGCCAAAGAACCUCUGAUGCCAAAGUUAGAAUUUGAGAGAGAAAGUGUAUAGAGAAUUUUUGGAGAAGAAUGAACUUAGGUUUUUGGCAGAAAUGGGAGCUAUUUAUAGGGGUGUGGCCGGCCCCCCUAUUUGGAGAAAAGGGAUCUGGCCACUUAUGGUGGUUUUUGGGUGUAAUUGAAAGAUAUUAUGUCAAAAUAAUAUGUUGCAAUCAAUUAGGAAAUUAAUUAAUUAAUUAGGAAAUUAAUCAAUUAAUUUAGGUAAUUAAUCCUAAUUUGAAUGAAUAAAUGAGGGUUACCUUGUGUGGAGGAUGUGAUGUGGAUGAAUGAUAUAGAUUUUGAAUAAAUACCUAUUUUGAUCACUUUUGACCUUGAUUGAGUCGUGAUUGUCCGCUACUUGUUUGUGGAAGUUUCGGUGUAGCUUGAGGGUAAUUUUGUCAUUUUCACCCAAAAGUACACGUGUCGCCUCCAUAACUUUCUUGAUUAUUUCUUACUCCACAAAUACCGCACAUCUGUUGGGCUGGUCAUAGGAAAGGGCAACAGGUGUAAAGAUCUCCAGCUUUGAUGCAGCUUCUCACUUGGACUUGGAAUUAGAUUCUUCUAGGAAAGGGAAAUAAAUCACCUCCAAAGCCUAUUUAAGCCUACCUUAAGUAGGGGAUUAAAUCAACUUCGGAGGGCAAUUAUUUAUCCCUAUAAGAAAGAGAGAAAACUAGAGGAUAUUUGUUCCCCCUCCCCUAGCACUCUUCUUUGCUUGCACGUGUAAAGAACAGUCUUCCGUUGAUUUCUUUGUCUUCUCAGCGCUGCACCGAUGUAAGAAAAACUUAAUUUUCCUUGUCUUCUUCUUGGGUGGUGUUGCCACGGGACAACUGUCGGGGUGGUGCGAAACGUCGGCUAGCAGGGGCCAGGAGUUGACUUGGCAUGGGGCAAAGAGGUGGUGUGGUAGGGGUCAUUGCUUGUGCUGCUCGGCUUGGCUGAAGCCAAGGACUGGCUCGACAUGGGCCGAGGAAGUGGCGUGGCAUGAGCUGCUUGCCAAAAAUGAGGAAACUGUUUGAGUUUGAUUUCUCAGCUGUCGUACAUAGAGCAGUCAAGGAUAGAGUUGUCAAGAUCGGAGCAAUUAAAGAUGAAGUGUCGGAUAAGCGAACUGUUAAGUCUACAGUGGUUGUUGCGCCCUGACCAUUUGAUGCCUAGUUGGUAUUCAAGCAUUCGAUUUUUUGAGUUAUGUGGCCUUCUCGCACUGGAGAGCUUACCCAGAUGGGUGUCGGGGAAUUAGUUUACCCUCUCGUACUGGAGAGCAAUUAGUUCACCCUCUAGCAUUGAAGAACAAUUAGUUUACCCUCUCGCACUUGAGAGCAAUUAGUUUACCUUCACACACUGGAGAGCAAUUAGUUUAUCCUCUCGUACUGGAGAGCAAACCCAGAUGGGUGUCGGGGAAUUAGUUUAUCCUCUUGCAAUGGAGAGCAAACCCAGAUGGGUGUCGGGGAAUUAGUUUCCCCUCUCGCAUUGGAUAGUAAUUAAUUUAUCCUCUCGCACUGGAGAGCAGACCCAGAUAGGGGUUUGAGCAGUUGUUGUAGACAGCAGUUGAGCCAAGCUUAUGAAUAACUUCUUGAAUCUUCAUUGAGAAUAAAGAAAUGGAUCAACCGUGCUGGAAGGUAGAAAUUGCAUAACAAAUUGGAUAAUCCUCGACUUGUGAGGUUUUGUUCAUCGAGCUACUAAACUUAUUUGGAAAAACACUAACGGGGUUCAGGGGGUGAUGGAGAUUUCCUUUGCUUAUGUAGGUUGUGUCGUUGACUUGUCAAGAUACUCGUCGCACCAGCCCUCAUUUGUUAGCUUCUCAAGGUACUGCUUCCAUUUCUAGCAGCCGUUGGUAGUGUGGCUUGGUCCUUGAUGGAAUGCACAAUAUUUUGUCUGAUCCAGCCUGGUAAGAUCGCUCUUCAUAGGUGGUGUUCUUGAGCUUACUUAGAACUGUGAACUUGGUGAAUGUUUCGAGCGCUGAGUCUUCUCUGGUCGAAUGAUGCUUCUUUACUGACUCAUUUUUGUUAGACUGCUUGACCUCGUCCCAUAAUGCGUGCUUAUCCGCCAAAGCAUACAAAGCUGCCAUGGUCAGUUCUUCUCCCAUGAUCAAUUUUUCGAAUAAAGGGUGUUCGAUGAGAAGCCUAUUUUUGAAUGUUGUCGUUGCUAUGCCUUCGAUAUAGCCAAUAAUCUUGGCCUUCUCUGCUUUGAACCUUUUGAUAUAGUCGCGAAUUGUCUCCUAAUGGCCUUUUACGAUGCUGAAGAGAUGAUCGGAUGUCCUUUUGAUUGAGCGGUUAGACGAAUAUUCCUUAGUGAAAACUAAGGAAAGUUCGUUGAAACUCCGAAUCGACUAUGGCGGCAGUGUGUGAAACCAGUCUUGCACCUCGCCUUGUAGAGUUGUUGCAAAAAAUUUGCACAAAAGCGCGUUGUUGUUCCUGUAGAGGAUCAUGGUACUACAGUAGUGCUUGAGAUGUUGGUCCGGAUCUUCAUCUCCCUUGUAUGGAGUAAAGUGAGGCAUAGUAAACCCGCGAGGUGGAUCUGUCUGUUCAAUCUUAUGCAUGAAUGGUGACCUGCUUAUGUUGGUCAUGUUUCGUUGAAAAGCAUCGUCAGUAGCCUCGUUGCACUGGAAAUCGCGUAAUCGUUCAAUUAGGAGCCUCUCAACUUCUUCUUGAAUUUGCCUCUGAUGGGGCUAUGGAACUUUCGGCUGCCCCCGGUCGUGACCUAUUGGUCUAGGCCGCUCUUUCUUAUGCUCGACUCGUCUAUGUCGUGGCUGCGGUGCAUGUGGCACGUUCAUGGCAAGUGAGCGGGCUAAUUGCAGGCUACCGGUUGAACUUGAGCCAGAUUGAGGGACUACUUCUCUCCAUCCACCAUUUUGCCUACUCCAAUGUGAGGUGAAAAAUGCUCUUUGCGAGCCUAGUUGUGAAUAAACACUUCGCCUAGAAGGUUGUCCAUGUUGAUAAUCAGAGUGUGGCCUCAACCGUGAACGUAUGCUCAUUUGUGGGCUUGAUUGGGAGUGCACGCUCAUCCGCGUGCUAAGAUGAGAGUAUAUGCUAUCUCGAGGAUCCAUGCGGGAGCGUCAACUGCUAGAACGCCCGGAUCAUGGCCUGGUUGAGAGGCUAUUUGCCUGGACGCUGCUGGAGAGGUUCGUCGUCUGCCUUUGUCAUGCUUCGGGAAACCUCGUCUAAAGCACGUUGCAUCUCGGUGCAUUGCAAGAGCUGAUUCACCAAAGUCGUAUGUUGUGCGAGGACGCUUGUCAACUCUUUUACUUGUCAAGACAAGUGUGGUUCGUCAUUCGGGUGGGAAGAGCUUAGACGGUAUGUGUCUCCUUGAGUAGCGGAAGUGUAGUGGACUUUGGGCGCAAGAUUUGAGUUGGGAAAUGUCAAAUCUGCGGAUAAAUGGGAUGAAAAUAUCCCCAGUUUAAUCGUUGGUCUAGAAAUCUGAAUCCAAGACUGUUGAACCGGUCUUGGACUAGUCAGGAACACCAAGUGAGCCACAGGAGUGGGUUGGGUCUCGAAAGUGGGUCGUGUCAUGUGCGGGGCGCGUGGGCGAGGUGCGGCGGUGAGAGCGCAUUAGAUUUAGGCCAAAGGAAUGGUCAGCGCAGCUCAGGCCUGCAAUGCGUCUUGGGCUUGCUCGUGCUGGGCAUGGCUUGGCUGCCCUGCAACAUGGGCUGGAGAUUGGGCCACCUGCUGUGAUACUUGUGCGGCUGCUGCUAGCGCUUAGGCCUAUGCUUGGUCCUGGGUUUGGGCUGUUGUAGUGGCAGCGCAUAAGGCUAUGGUCUGCUACCAUCGAGCUGGCCCACUCCUCACUGCCAUGGUGGUCCCCGUAGCUACCAUAGUGGUGCUGCGUGUGAAUCAAACUCUCAAUGAAAACACCAAUUUGUGGUUGCAAAUUUCUGCCUUCUUAUUCUUGGACGAAAAUGCACCUGCAAAACAAUUAACACUUUAAGUCAAGGCCAAGAGCCUCACACGCCCACGAUGAAUGAGGGGCUUUGGCCGAAGAACCUCUGAUGCCAAAGUUAGAAUUUGAGAAAGAAAGUGUUUAGAGAAUUUUUGGAGAAGAAUGAACUUAGGUUUUUGGGAGAAAUGAGAGCUAUUUAUAGGGAAGUAGCCGACACCUAUUUGGAGAAAAAGGGUUUGGCCACUUAUGGUGGUUUUUGGAUGUAAUUGCAAGAUAUUAUGUCAAAAUAAUAUCUUGCAAUCAAUUAGAAAAUUAUUUAAUUAAUUAGAAAAUUAUUUAAUUAAUUAGAAAAUUAAUCAAUUAAUUAGGAAAUUAAUCAAUUAAUUUAGGUAAUUAAUCCAAAUUUGAAUGAAUAAUUGAGGGUUACUUUGUGGGGAUGAUUUGAUGAGAAUGGAUGAAAUAGAUUUUGAAUAAAUAUCUAUUUUGAUCACUAUUGACCUUGAUUGAGUCGUUAUGGUCCGCUACUUGCGCGUGGAAGUUCCAGUGUAGCUCGUGGGUAAUUUUGUCAUUUUCACCCAAAAGUACAAGUGUCGCCUCCAUAAUUUUCUUGAUUAUUUUUUACUCCACAUUAUUUGCGUGAGAUUCACAUAUAUCAACUAUAAUUGAAAAGGUUUUUACAUGUAAAAAGUCAAGUAGCACUAAAAUUUAAAAUUUGGUACUUUUAUAAGCAUGGAUACAACUAGAGCACAAAAGUUUCCCAAAAGAAAUUUCUUUAUCAGUUAAAUUAAGGCUAGCUAAUGAUCAUUAUUAUAAUCGAAGGAUUGAUUCUUAAGAGAACUGCGUAAAGAAACAAGGGAACAACAAAAACACUAACGCUUGGUAGAAGAAUUCGAUGUCACCAGAACAGGCGAAUAAUGGACAUAAGGAUUGUUUGCCUGGGCUGUGCCUGGAGUUUCAGAGGGACGACUAUCCUUAUGAUAAGGGUCUGUCUCGGUAUACAAUAACAAAAAGAGAGAAAGAAAUGCCGAUAAACAAUAUGCCAACUUUUGUCUACUAAAGCAUAUUGUUGGAUAUUGUUUCAUAUAUACUUUUCCGUUUUCGCCUAUAUGAUAGACACACUUAAAUUUCUUAUAGGAAAUAUAAAUUUGUGGAGAUUCUUCAGAAGUCCAUAUAUUAUUUUUAUCGAGAAGUAAAUAUGAAUGUAGAGGAAUUUGUAAAAAGCAAAUGAAAUGGCCUAAAUUAAUCCUUCCGAUGUAAUAAAAUAAAAUAAAAUACUUUUGUUAAGCAUGCUUCACUUUUUGUCAUGUUCUAGAAAGGAGAAGCUGGUUUCAGUUCAAAACAAAUUAAACUAGAAUAGGUUUGGUGGUUUGCAUCCAAUGCGAGGUCUCUCUUUGAGAUUGUUCUUUGAUGUUUUCAAUAAUUUGUAGUACUUUAUAAUUUAUUUACAUUUAUUUUUUGCAUUUUAAGUUUCUCCAUUAUGUCACAUCCAGGCUCGGGCCCCACCACAUCCCGGGAUCGACUCCGCUGUAACACGAUAUUGUCCGCUUUGCCCUCACGGUUUUAUUUCUAGGAACUCAUACGAGAAUUUCCCAGUGGGUCACCCAUCAUGAGAUUGCUCUCGCGCGAACUCGCUUAACUUCAGAGUUCCGAUAAAACCCGAAGCCAAUGAGCUCCCAAAAGGCCUCGUGCUAGGAAGAGAUAGGAAUAUACAUAUAAGGCUUAUAGGAUCCACUCCCCUGGGCGAUGUGGGAUGUUACAAUCCACCCCCCCUUACGGGCCCGACUUCCUUGUCUACACACUCCCUCUGAUACCAAAUUGUCACAUCCCGGCCUGGGCCCCCAUCACAUCCCAGGCUCGACUCCGCCGUAGCACGAUAUUGUCCGCUUUGGGCCCCGACCACGCCCUCACGGUUUUAUUUCUAGGAACUCACACAAGAACUUUCCAGUGGGUCAUCCAUCAUAGGAUAGCUCUCGUGCGAACUCGCUUAACUUCGGAGUUCCGAUGGAACCCGAAGCCAGUGAGCUCCCAAAAUGCAUCGUGCUAGGAAGAGAUGGAAAUAUACAUAUAAGGCUUACAGGAUUCACUUCUCUGGGCGAUGUGGGAUGUUACAAUUACAAGUAUAGUUUAUUUACUUAUUUUAAGUAUAAAUAUGCACCUAUUUAUAUGUCAUAUAAUAAAUCUAAUAAAGAUAUUAAAAAAAAAACCUAGGUCAACAGUUAGGACCCUAACGGCCGCUCGAUAAUGGUCUAGCGAUGUUUAAAGCAUUGGUGUGAACGAAAUGUUUUUGGAAAUCAAGCACAAAAUGUCUUGAUUAUACUCCCUCAGCUCAUUUUCGAAUCAUUAUUCCUUCGAACGGCACAAAGCUCAGGUUUGAAUGUUAAAACCCACAACCCUUAGGUUGGAUAAACUUUUCGAAGGUCGAACAAGGUGUUGGACUUCCGGGUCAAGGAUCCAUGUCCCCAUGCCCCUAGGCCGCCUAUCGCAACCAUGCUUAAUAGGACUCGAGCCUCCCAAAUUGCUAACCGAACACGACGAAAUGGGUUAAAAGAUACUCCUCUAACACUAUCAAUUUGAAUUUUUUAGAUUCUUCUAACAACAUAUAUAUUGAUAAGUAAAUAUGGAUGUAGCUGAAUUUGUCAAAAAAAAAAAAACAAAUGAAAUGGCUGUGGAUGCAAAUUUCUGCCUUCUUAUUCUUGGACAAAAUUGCACCUACAAAACAAUUAACACCUUAGGUUAAGGCCAAGAGCCUCACGCGCCCACGAUGAAUGGGGGGGCUUUGGUCGAAGAACCUCCGAUGCCAAAGUUAGAAUUUAGAGAGAAAAAUAUUUGGAGAGUUUUUGGGAGGUUUGCAAGAGUGUGGACCUCCUUUGUUAGAAAAAAUAGGGUCAUAUAUAUAGGGAAUGGAGGUGGCCAGCCCUUAGAGGUUUUUUGUGUGAAAAUGGGUGAUUUAAUUGGUGAUUAAUGGAUUAAUUAGGAAUUAAUCUCCAUUUAUAUGGAAUAAUUUGUAGGUUAUGAAGUAAUUACCUAAAAUGAGGAUGGAUGAGAUAAUUUGGAAUUGGUUACCUUUUUUGGACACUCUUGGCUUGGUUAAAGAAUGAUUGUCCACGGCUCGUGCUUAGGACAAUCGAUGUGUCUCAAGGGUAACUUUGUCAUUUUACCAAAAAUCCACAUGUCGCCUUGUGAUUAUUUUUGGCUCCACAAUGGCUAAAUUAAUCAUUGCAAUGGAACAAAUAAAAAAUUACUUUUCAUAAGCAUGCAUCACCUUUGGAUAUAUUGGAGUUUCUAGACAGGAUGAGUUGGUUAAUUAAACUAGAAUAGGUUUGGUGGUUUGCAUCCAAUGCAUUAUUAGUUAGUACGUAAGAGAAAAAACAAAAACUAAAGGACCAGAAAACUAAACACGUCAAAAGACAUGGGUUUCUUUACCUUCUGUGCUCCUAAAUUUAGACCCAUACCCCUUCCUUGAGUUGUUUAUAAUAUGAUCUCCAUUCAUCCAUUGCUUAAACCAAACGAAUAAUUUAUAAUCACUUUAGCAUCAAUUUAAGAAACAUACACCUUGAGCAAUGGAGUCCUCAAUCGGAUAUGCAACUUUCAUUGCAUCCUUGCUCAUUUGUCUCUCAUCGUUUCCAACACCAUUUGCAAAUGCACGAGCGUCUCCAUUAAUUAGAAGUGUUUGCAAGCAAACCCAAGACCAAUUUGGCUACAACUACAAGCAAUGCAUAAAAUCUCUUUGGAAAGAUAUUCCAACUCGAUCAGCAUCUAAUCUCAAAGAUCUUAACACAGCCAUUCUUAAAUUAGCACUAACAAAUGCACAACAAAGCAAAGCUUUCUUUAUCAAUGCACUCAACACCACCGGCAACAAUAUUGUUAAGGCUCCGGAGCAAUAAAACAAUGUGCAGAUUCAUAUGAUUUUGCGGUAGACGGUUUCGCUUUCUCAGUGAGAGGGAUCAAAGAUAAUGACAAAUCAGUCUCCCAAAUACUCACACAAGUACAAGAUGAAAUUGUUCAUUGCGAAAAGGCAUUGACCUCUACCGAAAUUGAACUUCCUUAUUUAGUAUCUUCGACAAAAUUUUUGAUCAUGUUAUAUAGGGAUGUUGCAUUCCUCAUUACUUCCCAGUUAUUCCAUAUCUAGAAAAGAUACGUGAACAAUGUAUUAAAUUCAGUACGCAUUACUUAAAUACUAAAUAAUAUACAUAUAAUUAAUGUAUGUUUAAUUUGUAAAAGCAAAGAAAAGAAUGAAAAAUUAAUGUAAGAAAACAAAAAAUUGUUUUAACAUUGAAUCCUUCUAUGUUGUUAUUUUGGUUGUCCAUAUAUACUACACAUAUACCCAGAUAUACUACACGUUGAAUUCUUAAGAACACAAUUUGCUAUGCAUCUUUAAUCUUGACAGCAUCAGUGGAAACUUUCAAACUAUAAUUCUUUGUUGAUUAUUCAAAUUUGAAAAGAUGAAGAAAAGAACGCAUGGCAAUGUGCGUAUAUAACCAUAAUAGCAUUUCAAAUGACCGCACAAAAUGGAGUCACAUGGAUACUGAUACAAUUACACCUUUGAGUUUUGAGGUUUGGAUUUUCUUUUUCUCCACUUUUUUACUGCUUUCAGUUUUCAAUGAGUUUUGGGUAUACAAUCACACAUAAAAAGCCAAUUGGCAAGAAAGAGAUCUAAAGAUUGGUCCGUUGAGCACCCUUCUAUUGAUAGGAUACACGGGUCAAAAGGAAAACUUGAUUUCAAAGACGAAGUUGGUUUGCUCAUUGAAUUGUUGUGGUGCUGUAGGAGUCUCGACCUCCAUCUCCAUCCGUGCAAGAAAGAGACAUAAUUUGUUGAGGCAGGUGGGAAUUUCAACAACUCAAAGAAAAGGACCUCUCACCACCACACCACUUCCAACUAAAGGUUUGAUGCCAAUAUGCUGACUUCCUAGAAGUGAAGGGUAGUACUUUCUGCCAUUGGAAAACUGGUGGGUGCAUUCCAGCAAGUCGUAUUCCACUUUUAAAGACUAGAAAAACCUUAAUAUCGAUCACAUCUGUUGUAGCAAAAACAGAUUGAUAACUUUCAAUAUGGGCUUCGACUCCGAUAGUGGAAUACAUUACGUUUCUAUAAGCCCUCACUACAUUUUGGUACAAAAUUAAAACUUAAGAGCUAGGUUGAUAACCAAUUCGUUUUAAGUUUUUAAUUUUAUUUUUAAUUAUAUAGAUUGAUGAAAAAUAUGUGAUCUGAAGAUUAAUGAAGAUAGGCGAAGGAUAGAUGGUGAAAGCAGUAUGAAUCGAUGUUCUAAAAAGCAGUCUAGACAGCUAGCCAGCACCACGAUUAAUUACUAAACGGUUAGAAAAUCAAGUAUGGCAUCUACGUGGGUCUAGGCAGAAUAAGUGUUAGUUUUGUUUUAAUUAACUUUGAGUCUUGACUCAUCCUUUCCUAGACAAAAAAAAGGAAACCAAGAAUGCGAUGUGGUCGUCUCUCUUUGCGAUAGUUCUUUGAUGUUUUCAAUAAAUUGUAGUACUUUAUAUAAUUUAUUUAUAUUUAUAUUUUUCAUUUUAAGUUUCCCCAUUACAAUUAUAAUUUUUACUUAUUUAUUUUUUUUUAAAUAUAUAUAUGCACUUAUUUGUAUGUCAUAUAAUAAAUUUAAUUAAGAUAAAAAAAAACCUUAGGCCACUGGUUAGAACCCUACCCGCCGCUCGAUAACGACCUAGCGAUAUUUAACACAUUGGUGUGAAUGGAAUAUGUUUGGAAAUCAAACACAAAAUUUCUUGAUUAUGCUCCCUCAGCUGAUUAUCAGAAUGCCCUUUUGAUUAUUCAUUUGAAUGGUGUAAGGCCCAAGUUUGGAUGUUAUAAUCCACAACCCUUAGGUUCCAUAAACUUUCCGGAGGCCGGAUGAGGCGCUAGACUUCCAGGUUAGGGGUCCAUGUCCCCAUGUUCAUAGGCCGCCUAUCGUAACCUUGCUAAAGGGCUCGAUCCUCCUAAGCUGCUAACCGAACAUGACGAAAUGGGCUAAAAGAAACACCUCUAAUACCACCAAUUUGAAUUUUUUAGAUUCUUCUAACAUCAUAUAUAUUGAUAAGUAAAUAUGGAUGUAAAUGAAUUUGUAAAAAAACAAAUGAAAUGACUGAAAUUAAUCCUUGCGAUGUAAUGAAAAAAUCCUUUUGAUAACCAUGCAUCAGUUUUGGUUAUGUUGGAGUUUCUAGAAAUGAGGAGUUGGUUAAUUAAACUAGAAUAGGUUAGGUGGUUUGCAUCCAGUGUGUUAUUAGUUAGUACGUUAAAGAAAAAACAAAACUAAAAGACCAGAAAACUAAAGUCAAAAGAAAUGGGUUUCUUUACCUUCUGCACUCCUAAAUUUAGACCCAUACCCGCUCCUUGAGUUGUUUAUAAAUAUGAUCUCCGUUCAUCCAUUCCAUAAAUCAAACAAAUAUUUGUAAUCACUUUUCAUCAAUUUAAGAAACAUACACCUUGAGAAAUGGACUCCUCAAUCGGAUAUGCAACUUUCAUUGCAUCAUUGCUCUUAUGUCUUUCAUCGUCUCCAACACCAUUUGCAAAUGCAAGAGCGUCUCCAUUAAUUAGAAGCGUUUGCAAGCAAACCCAAGACCAAUUCGGCUACAACUACAAGCAAUGCGUAAAAUCUCUUUGGAAAGAUAUUCUAACUCGAUCAGCAUCUAAUCUCAAAGAUCUUGACACAUCCAUUCUUAAAUUAGCACUAACAAAUGCACAACAAAGCAAAGCUUUCUUUGUCAAUGCGCUUAACACCACCGGCAACAAUAUUGUUAAGGGCUCCGGAGCAGUAAAACAAUGUGCAGAUUCAUAUGAUUUUGCAGUAGACGGUUUCGCUUUCUCAAUGCGAGGGAUCAAAGAUAAUGACAAAUCGGUCUCCCAAAUACUCACACAAGUACAAGAGGAAAUUGUUCGUUGCGGAAAAGCAUUGACCUCUACCGAAAUUGAAAUUCCUUAUUUAGUAUCUUCGACAAACUUUUUGACCAUGUUAUAUAGGGAUGUAUCAUUCCUCAUUACUUCCCAGUUAUUCCAUAUCUAGAAAAGAUACAUGAACAAUGUAUUAAAUUUAGUACGCAUUACUUGAAUACUAAAUCAUAUACAUAUGAUUACUCUAUAUUUAUUGGUAAAAGAAAAUAAAAUGAAAAAUUAUUGUAAGAAAACAAAAAGUUGUUUUAAUAUUGAAUCCUUCUGUGUUGCCCUUUUGGUUGUAUAUUAGACAUAUACCCAAAUAUACCACAUGUUGAAUUCUUAAGAACACAAUUUGCUAUGCAUCUUUAAUCUUGAUAGCAUCUUUAAUCUUGACAGCAUCAAUGGAAACUUUCAAACUAUAAUCUUUUAUUGAUUAUUCAAAUUUGAAUAGAUGAAGAAAAAAACACAUGGCAAUGUGCAUAUAUAACCAUGAUAGCAUUUCCGAUAACCGCACAACAUGGUGUCACAUUGAUACUGAUACAAUUACACUUUUGAGUUUUGAGGUUUGGAUUUUCUUUCUCCACUUUUUUACUGCUUUCAGUUUUCAAUGAGUUUUGGGUACACAACCAUACCAAAAAAGGCCAAUUGUCAAGAAAGAGUUCUAAAGUUUGGUCACGUCGAGCACCCUUUCGUUGAUAGGAUACACUGGUCAAAGUGAAGACUUGAGUUCAGAGACGAAGUUGGCUCGCUCAUUGAAUUGUCACGGUGUUGUGGAAUCUCGACCUCCAUCUCUAUUUGUGCAAGAAAGAAACAGAAUUUGUUGAGGCGGGUGGGAAUUUCAACAAUUCAAAGAAAAAACUGCAUUCCACCACACUACUUCCAACUCAAGGUUUGGUGCCAAUAUGCUGACUCUCCUAGAAGCAAAGGGCAGUACUUUUCACCAUUGGAAAAUUGGUGGGUGCAAUCCAGCAAAUUGUAUUCCUCUUUAAGAGACUAGUAAAACCUUAAUAUCGAUGACAUCCGUUGUAGCAUAAAUAAGUUUCAAUUAGAUCUUAUUUCUUUUAUGGCUAACUCAUGACUGCAUGAAUUUGACGGGUGGUGUUGGAAAAUAUAAAGAAAGGUAUUUUAGAGAUUUGAUUUGAUAUGAUUUAAUUUUAUUUGGUCUAGGUUUCCUUGUCUUGUGGACAAUGAUUGUUUUGAUUUAUUUCCUAGUAUUCCUUUUUUGUAAUCUUAUAAAUACCUCCUUAUGGAGAAGAAUAAAAUAUUUAAGUUUUAUUCGAGAAUUAUGAGAUUGUAGAGAACUCCAAAGUUAUCUUAAAUCCUUUAUUUUCAAACACACACACAAAGCAAAGUUUGUGUGAGAUACGUUCAUUUUGUUAUAAAUCAAACAACUGAAUUGCUAGCUGAGAGUAAAACUAAUGUAACAAAUAGCCGAACGAAAUAGACCUAAGGAAUAUGAAAGGGCGCAGCAGUAGUUUACAGAUUAGGCGUCUGUGCUCCGUUUUGGGUCCAUGAUACCUUGUCGAAAAGAGCGGGGCGUCCUAGUUUAAAUUCACUGGUUUGCUAUGAUAUAUUGAUGGAUUUUAGGGCCGUUUGGGCUUCCAAAACUACAUUUUAAAUUUUGUAAUAAAAAUCCGAUCUUUCUAUUUAAGUAUGAUUAAUGUUGUUCUUAUUCCCAAAACCCUUGAGCCUUUCCGAGGCUGUUUAUAGGUCUAUUUAAAGUCAUUUGGCUCCCAAUGUAAUGCAUCAACUUAGAAAAAAUCCAGACAACCUUUUGGUUUUAUCCCAAUCUCUAGCGGAUUCCACAAACCUUUGUUCUUCAAGAUUUACAUUUGUAAUCCUUCUAUGCUCGUGCUGCAUCAAAAACUGUUUAGCUGAUUCGAAAUAAAAUGGAAGCCAUAUAUAGAAUUGUGUUAUUUAGGGUUUUCCUCUGCUUGUUUUCAAGGGCCGUUGAUGUGAAAAUUAAGGAGAGUGAUUUCUACACACUACAUAUGCCCUUGUAUUUCUGAUCUUUGGAUUAAAUAAAUGAAAGGAGAAUCAAGGGACCAUAAAUAAACAAGGAUUGCAGAAAAAGAAAGCGUUUGCGGAAAUAUUUUCCCAAGAUAUUAAUGCUUCCCAAAUGGAUAUGAUACUUGCUAGAGAGUUGAUUAAAGAUACUCUGUUCUUCUGUAUAAAGCUUCAACUAACUUUAGGAACGUUUGGUUCUCAUAAAAAGCUUUAGAAAAUAGCAGAUGAGCAAAACCAGAAUAUGGGAAAGUGUGCAUAAAAAUUUAACGGGGGUGUUAAAGUUUUACACUGCAAUCUGUUUGAAAUAACUCGAGUUAGCAUCCUUUUGGAUCCAACUAAUAUCGCUAAACUACUUAAUACUCAUUAGUUUCAUAAACAAAAAAAUUGGAUCCAAGAUGGAUACCAAACAACCGUUCCUUCAUGACCAUCCCUUGUGACAAUCUGUAUAUAUUUUUCUGAAGGGUUCCAUCUGUUUGCUGAAGGAUUUACUGUUCUUAACUGAUCAAGCGGCACCACCACCUACGUGAGAUUAACUAACUUGUUAGACGAAUGAAAAACUUAAGAAUUCGAAUUUUAUGUCCACUAUAAUAUCUACCUGGUAAUGCAUGAGAGUUGGAUUUCCUGGGCACAAAUAGUAAGAGAAAUCGCUGCAGAAGGCUAUUCGUUAUCGGAGAUGUACAACAUCCCAAUCACAGGUCCAUGAGAAGUUGAUAGAUAGCAAGCAUAUGAAUGUAAGAGCUUUUCUCCUGUCAUAUUUUCAAAUGUUUGCUGAAACACUUUUUCUUCUGCUUCGGCAGUAAGCACCUUUGUUCCGGUAUUUAGCCUUGCCAUCAUUACGUCUGUGAAACUCGGGCACGUUCUCACUGUGAAACUCGGGCACGUUCUCACUGUCACGAAAUGAAGAUUGAUUAAGAUCAAUCAAUUCAAAAUUUCUGUAGGCUCUACCAAGAAAGAAAACUUUAAAACUUAACAAAUUGGCAUUUUUCUUCUAUUAAACUUGAUAGCAAGGGAGAAAUUAACAUAGGAAUUCAUUUAGAGAGAAACUCACGGUGGUUCCAGACAUUGUCCGCCUUGGCCUCUGCUCUUCUGGUGGCAACUUCAACCAUUUUACCGCACUGGCACAAUGCCUCAACCAUAUUAGCCAUCGGACCAGCAGCAGAAAGUAAUAAAAAUUAAAAAUAAAAACGAUCAUCCGAACUUAUUUGUGGUUGCAAAUUUCCGCCUUCUUCUUCUUGGACGAAAAUGCACUUGCAAAAUAAUUAACAUCUUAGGUCAUGGUCAAGAGCCUCACGCGCCCACGAUGAAUGGGGGGAGGGAGGGGGGGCUUUGGCCGAAGAACCUCUGAGGCCAAAGUUAGAAUUUGAUAGAGAAAAUGUUUAGAGAAUUUUUGGAGAAUAAUGAACUUAGAUUUUUGGGAGAAAUGGGAACUAUUUAUAGGGGUGUGGCCGGCCCCUAUUUGGAGUAAAGCGGUCCGGCCACUUAUGGUGGUUCCGGUGUAGCUCGAGGGUAAUUUUGUCAUUUUCACCCAAAAGUACACGUGUCGCCUCCAUAAUUUUCUUGAUUAUUUUUUACUCCACAAAUGCCCCCACACCUACUGGGCUGCUCGCAGGAAAGGGCAACAUGUGUAGAGAUCUCUAACUUUGAUGCAGAUUCUCACUUGGACUUGGAAUUAGAUUCAUCUAGGAAAGGGAAAUAAAUCGCCUCCAAAGCCUAUUUAAGCCUACCUUAAGUAGAGGAUUAAAUCAACUUCGGAGGGCAGUUAUUUAUCCCUACAAGAAAGAGAGAAAGCUAGAGGAUAUUUGUUCCACCUCCCCUAGCACUCUUGUUUGCUUGUCCGUACAAAAAACUAUCUUCUGUUGAUUUCUUUGUCUUCUCCGUGUCGCACCGAUGUAAGAAAAACAAAAUUCUCCUUGUCUUUUUCUUGGGUGGUGCUGCCACGGGGCAGCUGUCGAGAUGGUGUGGCAUGUCGAUUGAUAGAGGCCAGGAGUUGGCUUGGCAUGGACCAAAGAGGUGGUAUGGUAGGGGCCAUUGUUUAUGCUGCUCGGCUUGACUAAAGCCAAGGACUGGCUCGACAUGGGCCGAGGAAGUGGCGUGGUAUGGGCCACGGUUUGAGCUGUUUGCCAAAAAUGAGGAAACUGCUUGAGUUUGAUUUCUCAACUGUAGUAGAUGAAGCAGUAAAUGAUGGAGCUGCCAAGAUCGAAGCUGCUAAAGAUGAAGUGUCAGAUGAGCGAACUAUUGAGUGCAAAGUGGCUACUCCUCCUCACCAUUUGCUGCCUAUUUGGUCUUCAAGCAAUCGGUCUUUUGAGUUAUGUGGCUUUCUCGCACUGGAGAGCUUACCAGAUGGGUGUCGGGGAAUUAGUUUACCCUCUCGCACUUAUAUGGGUGUCGGGGAAUUGGUUUACCCUCUCGCACUGGAGAGCUUACCAAUAUAGAUGUCGGGGAAUUGGUUGACCCUAUCGCUGGAGAGCAAUUAGUUUAUCCUCUAGCACUGGAGAGUAUACCCAGAUGGGUGUCGGGGGAUUAGUUUACCCUCUCACACUGGAGAGCAAUUAGUUUAUCCUCUCGUACUGAAGAGCAGACCCAUAUAGGGGUUUGAGCAGUUGUUGUAGACAGCAAUUGUGCCAGGCUUAUGAAUAACUUCUUGAAUCUUCAUUGAGAAUAAAGAAAUGGAUCAACUGUGCAGGAAGGUAGAAAUUGCAUAACAAACUGGGUAAUCCUCGGCUUGCGAGGUUUUGUUCGUCGAGCUGCUUGAGACUUCGAACUUAUUUGGAAAAACCCUAACGGGGCUUAGGAGGUGAUGGAGAUUUCCCCUGCUUGUGUAGGCCGUGUCGUUAACCUGUCAAGAUACUUGUCCCACCGGCCUUUAUUUGUCAGCUUCUCAAGGUACUGCUUCUACUUCUAGCAGUCGUUGGUAGUGUGGCUUGGUCCUUGAUGGAAUGCGCAAUACUUUGUCUGAUUUAGCCUGGUAAGAUCGCUAUUCAUAGGUGGCGGCAGUUCAAACCAAGGUUCAUUCUUGAGCUUACAGAGAAUUUGGCCAAUUGUAACUGUGAACUUGGCGAAUGUUUCGGGCACUGAGUAUUCUCUAGUUGGGGGAUGCUUCUUUUCUGACUUGUUUUUGUUAGGCUGCUUGGCCUCGUCCCAUAGUGCGUGCUUCUCCGCCAAAGCAUAUGAAGCUACCAAGGUCAGUUCUUCUCCCAUGAUCAAUUUUUUGAAAAAAAAGGUGUUCGGUGGGAAGCCCAUUUCUGAAUGAUGUCGUUGCUAUGUCUUCGUUGCAACCAACAAUCUUGUCUCCCAAUAGCCUUUUAUGAUGCUGAAAAGAUGAUCAGAUGUCAUUUUGAUUGAGCGGUUAGAUGAAUAUUCCUAAGUGAAAACUAAGGAAAGUUCAUUGAAACUCUGGAUCAACUAUGGCAGCAGGGUGUGAAACCAGUCUUGCGCGUUGCCUUGUAGAGUUGUGGCAAAAUUUUUGCACAUAAGCGCGUCGUUGUUCUUGUAGAAGAUCAUGGUGCUGCAGUAGUGCUUGAGAUGUUGGUCUGGAUCUUAGUCACCUUUAUACGGAGUGAAGUGAGGCAUACUAAACACGCGAGGUGGAUUUGUUUGCUCAAUCUCAUCCGUGAAUGGUGACCUGCUUAUGUUAGUCAUGUCUCGUCAAAACGCAUCGUUAUUAGCCUUGUUGCGCUGGAAAUCGCGCAAUCAUUCAAUCAUGAGCCUCUCAACUUCUUCUUGAAUUUGCCUCUACUGGGGCAAUGGAACUUUCGGCUGCCCCCGAUUGUGACCUAUUAGUCUAAGUUGCUAUUCCCUUUGCUCGACUCGUCUGUGUCGUGGCUGUAGUGCAUGUGGCACGUCACUGGCAAGUGAGCGGGCUGUUUGCAGGCUGACGGUUGAACUUGAGCUGGAUUGAGUGACUACUUCUCUCAAUCCGCCAUGCUACCUACUCCGAUGUGAGAGGGAGAAUACUCAUUGCGAGCUUAGUUGUGAAUGAACACUUGGCUAAGGUUAUCCAUGUUGAUAAUUAGAGUGUAGCCUUAACCAUGAACGUAUGCUAGUCUGUAGGCUUAAUCGGGAGUGCACGCUCAUUCGCCUACUAAGAUGAGAGCAUAUGCUAUCUCGAGGAUCCAGGCGGGAGAGUAAACUACUAGAAUGCUUGGAUAGUGGCUGGUUGAUGGGCCAUUUGCCGGGACGCUGCUGGAGAGGUUCGUCAUCUACCCUUGUCAUGCUUCGGGACACCUCGUCUAGAGCACGUUGCAUCUCGGUAGAUUGUAAGAGCUGAUUCACCAAGGUUGUCUGCUAUGCGAGGGCGCUUGUCAACAAUAUAACUUGCUGUGACAAGUGUGGUUCGUCUUUCGGGUUGGAAUACCUUGGACAAUAUGCGUCUCCUUGAGUGGUGGAAGUCUAAUGGACUCCAAGCGCAAGAUUUGAGUUAGGAAAUGUCAAAUCUACGGAGAAAUGGGGUGAAAAUGUCCCCAGUUCAAUCAUCAGUCCAAAAAUCUGAAUCCGGGGUUGUUGAACCGGUCGGGAUCGCCAAGUGAGCCACGGGAGCGGGUUGGGCCACGGAAGUGAGCAAUGCCAUAUGCAGGGCACGUGGGCGGGGUGCGGUGCUGGGAAUGCAUUGGAUUUGGGCCGAGGGAAUGGUCAGCCCAACUCGGGCCUGCAAUGCGUCUUAGGCCUGCACUGUUUGGGUAGUGGUUUGGGCCUGCUCGCGCUGGGGUUGGAUCGACUGCCUUGUAGCGUGGGCUGUAGAUUGGGACGCCUGUUAGGCUACUUGCGCAGCUGCUGCCAACGCCUAAGCUUGGGUUUGGUCUUGGGUUUGGGCUGCUGUAGUGGCAGCGCAUAAAACCAUGGUUUGCUGCCAUGAAGCUGGCCUACUCCCCACUGCCACGGUGGUCCCCGUGGCUGCCAUGGUGGCAAAAUUGCUCAUCUUGCCAUCGCGUUGAGCUUUGUGGAUCGUCGUGGUGGGGCUACAUCGUAAUCUCCAUCACUUGAUCCGGAUCUUUGAACGUAGGAAGUUUCCUUCUUUGUGGUUUCCAAAUUUCUUGUCAUUGUACUUUUCUUUUAAGUUUAUUCAACAAAAAAUUUACAUGAAAAAAUUCUAGGAAUAAGAACCUACGAAAAAUCUACGAAUGAACAAAAAAUGAGAAACCUUGAAUGCGAGAGUUUUCUUCACGCGUGUGAAUCAAACUGUCAAUGAAAGCACCAAUUUGUGGUUGCAAAUUUCCGCCUUCUUCUUCUUGGACGAAAAUGCACAUGCAAAACAAUUAACACCUUAGGUCAAGGCCAAGAGCCUCACGCGGCCACGAUGAAUGAGGGGGUUUUGGCAGAAGAACCUUCGAUGCCAACAUUAGAAUUUGAGAAAGAAAGUGUUUAAAGAAUUUUUGGAGAUGAAUGAACUUAGGCUUUUGGGAAAUAUGAGAGUUAUUUAUAGGGGUGUGGUCGGCCCCUAUUUGGAGAAAAGGGGACCGGCCAGUUAUGGUGGUUUUUGGGUGUAAUUGCAAGAUAUUAUGUCAAAAUAAUAUCUUGCAAUCAAUUAGGAAAUUAAUUUAGGUAAUUAAUCCUAAUUUGAAUGAAUAAUCGAGGGUUACCUUGUGGGGAGGACUUGACGAGGAUGGAUGAAAUAGAUUUUGAAUAAAUACUUAUUUUGAUCACUUUUGACCUUAAUUGAGUCGUGAAUUUCCGUUGCUUGUUCCUGGAAGUUCCGGUGUAGCUCAAGGGUAAUUUUGUCAUUUUCACCCAAAAGUACAAGUGUCGCCUCCAUAAUUUUCUUAAUUAUUUUUUACUCCACAUUAUCUGUGUGAGACUUAAUGAAAUGACGUAAAAAAAAAAAAUUUAUUCGCAUAUAUCAAACUAUAGUUGAGAAACGUAAGAAGUCAAGUAGCACUAAAAUUUAAAAUUUGGUACUUUUAUAAGCAUGGAUAAAACUAGAGCACAAAAGUUUCCCACAAGAAAUUUCUUUAUCAGUUAAAUUAAGGCUAACUAAUGAUCAUUAUUAUAAUCGAAGGAUUGAUUGUUAAGAGAACUGCGUAAAGAAACAAGGGAACAACGAAAACACUAAAGCUUGGCAGAAGAAUUCGAUGUCACCAGAACAGGCGAAUAAUGGACAUAAGGAUUGUUUGCCUGGGCUGUGCCUGGAGUUUCAGAGGGACGACUAUUCUUAUGAUAAGGGUCUAUAUAUUAUUAAGACCUUCAGAUGCCGAUUAAUGGUUAGGAAAAGGUUAUGAAGACCUUCAGAUGCCGUCGCACUUUAAAGCAAUAAAUAAUAUGCCAACUUUUGUCUAGUAAACCAUAUUGUUGGAUAUUGUUUCAUAUAUACUUUUCCGUUUUCGCUUAUGAUAGACACACUUAAAUUUGUUGAGAUUCUUCAGAAGUCUAUAUAUUAUUUUUAUCGAGAAGUAAAUAUGAAUGUAGAUGAAUUUGUAAAAAGCAAAUGAAAUGGCCAAUAGUUAGGACCCUAACGGCCGCUCGAUAAUGGUCUGGCGAUGUUUAAAGCAUUUGUGUGAAAGGAAUAUUUUUGGAAAUCAAACACAAAAUGUCUUGAUUAUACUCCCUCGGCUGAUUUCCGAAUCAUCCUUGUGAUUAUUCCUUUGAACGGUGCAAGGCCCAGGUUUGAAUGUUAUAACCCACAACCCUUAGGUUGGAUAAACUUUUCGGAGGUCGAACAAGGCGCUAGACUUCCGGGUCAAGGAUCCAUGUCCCCAUGCCACUAGGCCGCCUAUCGCAACCGUGUUAAUAGGGCUUGAGCCUCCCAAAUUGCUAACCGAACACAACGAAAUGGGCUAAAAGAUACUCCUCUAACAUUGUCAAUUUGAAUUUUUUAGAUUCUUCGAACAUGAUAUAUAUUGAUAAGUAAAUAUGGAUGUAGAUGAAUUUGUCAAAAAAGAAAUGAAAUGGCUAAAUUAAUCAUUGCAAUGGAAUAAAAAAACGAAAAAAAAAACUUUUCAUAAGCAUGCAUCACUUUUGGAUAUAUUGGAGUUUCUAGAAAUGAUGAGUUGGUUAAUUAAACUAGAAUAGGUUUGGUGGUUUGCAUCCAAUGCGUUAUUAGUUAGUACGUAAGAGAAAAAACAAAAACUAAAGGACCAGAAAACUAAACACGUCAAAAGACAUGGAUUUCUUUACCUUCUGCGCUUCUAAAUUUAGACCCAUACCCCCUCCUUGAGUUUUUUAUAAUAUGAUCUCCAUUCAUCCAUUGCUUAAACCAAACCAAUAAUUUAUAAUCACCUUAGCAUCAAUUUAAGAAACAUACACCUUGAGUAAUGGAGUCCUCAAUCGGAUAUGCAACUUUCAUUGCAUCCUUGCUCUUAUGUCUCUCAUCGUUUCCAACACCAUUUGCAAAUGCACGAGCGUCUCCAUUAAUUAGAAGUGUUUGCAAGCAAACCCAAGACCAAUUUGGCUACAACUACAAGCAAUGCAUAAAAUCUCUGUGGAAAGAUAUUCCAACUCGGUCAGUAUCUAAUCUCAAAGAUCUUGACACAGCCAUUGUUAAAUUAGCACUAACAAAUGCACAACAAAGCAAAGCUUUCUUUGUCAAUAAACUCAACACCACCGGCAACAAUAUUGUUAAGGGCUCCGGAGCAAUAAAACAAUGUGCGGAUUCAUAUGAUUUUGCAGUAGACGGUUUCGCUUUCUCAAUGAGAGGGAUCAAAGAUAAUGACAAAUCAGUCUCCGAAAUACUCACACAAGUACAAGAUGAAAUUGUUCGUUGCGAAAAGGCAUUGACCUCUACCGAAAUUGAACUUCCUUAUUUAGAAUCUUCGACAAACUUUUUGACCAUGUUUUAUAGGGAUGUUGCAUUCCUCAUUACUUCCCAGUUAUUCCAUAUCUAGAAAAGAUACGUGAACAAUGUAUUAAAUUCAGUACGCAUUACUUAAAUACUAAAUAAUAUACAUAUAAUUAAUGUAUGUUUAAUUUGUAAAAGAAAAGAAAAGAAUGAAAAAUUAAUGUAAGAAAACAAAAAAUUGUUUUAAUAUUGGAUCCUUCUAUGUUGUUAUUUUGGUUGUCCAUAUAUACUACACAUAUACCUAGAUAUACUACAUGUUGACCCUACAAUAAUUAUGGGCACUGCGCACAAUAAAUUAUAUAUGUCGUUUGAGGCCAAUGAGCACCAACAUUUGUGUCCAUGAACCAAUAGCAAUAGUGCAGCAACUAAAAUAUUGUAUGUGCCCUAUUUGGGCGUCACCAUUUGUCAAAGAGCAUAAUAAGGUAUGCUGUGCUGAAAAGUGUAAGCACAAAUAAAGGUCCUUUUGUGCCAAGUUCUUACAAAGUUGUCAAAUGACUGCUGCCACCCAUGUAUGUUAGCACAUUUAUUGUUAUUGUGCCCAAUAUGUCAACUAUUUAAAAAAAAAAAUUAAAAACUGAAAUCACCUACUAAUUGAGAUUUGAGGCUAAACAAAAAAAUUAAUUUUUCAUAAAAUUAAAACAGCCCACAACCACAAGCAUCUAUAAUAUUACAAUUUACAAAGAUAUUCUAUAUAUAAAAACAACUAUAAUUUUACAUGUUAUAUCCCCAACUAAAAUAAAACUAAAAUUAUAAAGGUUUUAAGUGAAUAUCGGUUCUCUCAAGAAUAAGAACAUCAAAUAUUAAGGUUUUAAGUGAACCUACACAGUGAAAGUGAAAGAAAAUUGAAUUGUCCAUUUGGUUACUGAGAAAGUGAAAGAAAAUUGAAGGGAAAGUUUGGGAAAAAGGAGAAUUUACCUCGAUGUUGAAGAUGCCAAUGGUGGUUUCUAAGGUUGCCUCCGGCGACCCUCAUUUUUUGCUUGCCCACUUCUUUCUGACUAUCCAGAUCGAUGUAGCUUGAAGAAGACAAUAGUAGGAAAGAAAAUCAAGUAGAUCUAUAUAUUUUUUGAAAAUCAAAUCAAAUAAGAGAGAAUUAGAGAGAGAGACCGAAUCUAGGAUUUGGGAAUGUAGAGAAUAAAGAUGGUCCGAAUCUGGGAGUUAUGCCUUGGAUUGGUUCAUCAAAAACCACUAGAUCGGGAAAAGGAAGAGAGAUGGACCGAAUCUGGGAAGGUAGAGAGAGAAAGGGAGUCGGAGAGAGACAGAGGUCGACAAGAGGAUUCUAGAGGUAUAAUUAGACGGUCGUUGGUGACGGGUGGACAACGGCUUUGUUGCAUGAAAGAGAUCUAAAGAUGGGGGAGAAAGGAAGACUGCUGAGGAAGACAAGGAGUAGAGUUUAAGAGAGGGGGUGAGAGAGGAAAGGCGUGAACUAAAUGUAAAGGAAUUGAGAAUGGGAAAAAGUAAAAGCAAUGACACGAAAACUUACUUUUAAUUUAAAGAUAUUACAUCGGAGAGCACGAAAUCUUUUAUUGUGCUUUUGUAAAUUAAUAAACAAAUCUUAUUUUCAACAUUUAUAAGGGUGACACAUGCAAGUAGGCACAAAUACACUUCAUUUUCGGCACAAACCAUUGUUCUUUUUGCUUAGAGAGCACAUAUAAAAUAAUUUUGUGUUCAAUGAUACUCAACACGCACAGAUAUGUAUUGGUGCUCAAUGAAAAUGAAAAGGACACGGAUCAAUUGUGUUCUUAGCCCACUUUUCUUGUAGUGUGAAUUCUUAAGAAUACAAUUUGCUAUGUAUCUUUAAUCUUGACAGCAUCAGUGGAAACUUUCAAACUCUAAUUCUUUGUUGAUUAUUCAAAUUUGAAAAGAUGAAGAAAAGAACGCAUGGCAAUGUGCAUAUAUAACCAUAAUAGCAUUUCAAAUGACCGCACAACAUGGAGUCACAUUGAUACUGAUACAAUUACACUUUGAGGUUUGGAUUUUCUUUUUCUCCACUUUUCUACUGCUUUCAGUUUUCAAUGAGUUUUGGGUAUACAAUCUCACAAAGAAAAAGCCAAUUGGCAAGAAAGAGAUCUAAAGAUUGGUCCGUUGAGCACCCUUCCGUUGAUAGGAUACACGAGUCAAAAGGAAGACUUGAUUUCAGAGGUGAAGUUGGUUCGCUCAAUGAAUUGUCGUGGUGCUGUGGGAAUCUCGAUCUCCAUCUCCGUCCGUGCAAGAAAGCGACAUGAUAUGUUGAGGCAGGUGGGAAUUUCAACAACUCAAAGAAAAGGACCGCGCAUCACCACACCACUUCCAACUCAAGGUCCGGUGGCAAUAUGCUAACUUCCUAGAAGCGAAGGGUAGUGCUUUCCGCCAUUGGAAAACUGGUGGGUGCAUUCCAACAAGUCGUAUUCUACUUUUAGAGACUAGUAAAACUUUAAUAUCGAUCACAUCUGUUGUAGCAAAAACAAAUUGAUAACUUUCAAUAUGGGCUUCAACUCCGAUAGUUACAUUAGGUUUCUAUAAACCCUCACUACAUUUUGGUACAAAAUUAAAACUUAAGAGCUAGUUUGAUAACCAAUUCGUUUUAAGUUUUUUAUUUUAUUUUUAAUUAUAUAGAUUGAUGAAAGCAGUGUGAAUCGAUGUUCUAAAAAGUAGUUUAGAUAGCUAGCUAGCACCACGAUUAAUUACUAAAUGGUUAGAAAAUCAAGUAUGGCAUCUACGUGGGUUUAGGCAGAAUAAGUGUUUGUUUUGUUUUUUUAAUUAACUUUGAGUCUUGACUCACGCUUUCCCAGACAGAAAAAGGAAACCAAUAAUGCGAUGUGGUUGUCUCUUUUUGCGAAAGUUCUUUGAUGUUUACUUUAUAUAAUUUAUUUAUAUUUAUAUUUUCAUUUUAAGUUUCCCUAUUACAAUUAUAAUUUUUACUUAUUUAAUUUUUUUUAAAUAUAUAUAUGCACUUAUUUGUAUGUCAUAUAAUAAAUUUAAUUAAGAUAAAAAAAAACCUUAGGCAACUAGUUAGAACCCUACCCGGCACUUGAUAACGAUCUAGCGGUAUUUAAAACAUUGGUGUGAAAGGAAUAUGUCUGGAAAUCAAACACAAAAUUUCUUGAUUAUGCUCCCUCAACUGAUUAUCAGAAUGCCCUUUUGAUUAUUCCUUCGAAUGCUGUAAAGCCCAAGUUUGGAUGUUAUAAUCCACAACCCUUAGGUUCCAUAAACUUUCCGGAGGCCGGAUGAGGCACUGGAGUUCCAGAUUAGGGGUCCAUGUCCCCACGCUCAUAGGCCGCCUAUCGUAACCUCGCUUAAUAGGGCUCGAUCCUCCUAAGCUACUAACCAAACACGACGAAAUGGGCUAAAAGAAACUCCUCUAAUACUAUCAAUCUGAAUUUUUUAGAUUCUUCUAACACCAUAUAUAUUGAUAAGUAAAUAUGGAUGUAAAAGAAUCAGUUAAAAAACAAAUGAAAUGACUUAAAUUAAUCCUUGCGAUGUAAUGAAAAAAUCAUUUUGAUAAGCAUGCAUCACUUUUGGUUAUGUUGGAGUUUCUAGAAAUGAGGAGUUGCUUAAUUAAACUAGAAAAGGUUAGGUGGUUUGCAUCCAGUGUGUUAUCAGUUAGUACGUUAAAGAAAAAAUAAUAACUAAAGAACCAAAAAACUAGUCACGUCAAAAGAAAUGGGUUUCUUUACCUUCUGCACCCCUAAAUUUAGACCCAUUCCCGCUCCUUGAGUUGUUUAUAAAUAUGAUCUCCGUUCAUCCAUUCCAUAAAUCAAACAAAUAUUUGUAAUCACUUCUUCAAUUUAAGAAACAUACACCUUGAGAAAUGGACUCCUCAAUCGGAUAUGCAACUUUCAUUGCAUCAUCGCUCUUAUGUCUUUCAUCGUCUCCAACACCAUUUGCAAAUGCAAGAGCAUCCCCAUUAAUUAGAAGCGUUUGCAAGCAAACCCAAGACCAAUUUGGCUACAACUACAAGCAAUGCGUAAAAUCUCUUUGGAAAGAUAUUUCAACUCGAUCAGCAUCUAAUCUCAAAGAUCUCGACACAGCCAUUCUUAAAUUAGCACUAACAAACGCACAACAAAGCAAAGCUUUCUUUGUCAAUGCGCUCAACACCACCGACAACAAUAUUGUUAAGGGCUCCGGAGCAGUAAAACAAUGUGCAGAUUCAUAUGAUUUUGCAGUAGAUGGUUUCACUUUCUCAAUACGAGGGAUGAAAGAUAAUGACAAAUCGGUCUCCCAAAUACUCACACAAGUACAAGAUGAAAUUGUUCGUUGCGGAAAAGCAUUGACCUCUACCGAAAUUGAACUUCCUAAUUUAGUAUCUUCGACAAACUUUUUGACCAUGUUAUAUAGGGAUGUUGCAUUCCUCAUUACUUCCCAGUUAUUCCAUAUCUAGAAAAGAUACGUGAACAAUGUAUUAAAUUUAGUACGCAUUACUUGAAUACUAAAUCAUAUACAUAUGAUUACUCUAUAUUUAAUUUGUAAAAGAAAAGAAAAUAAAAAAUUACUGUAAGAAAACCAAAAGUUGUUUUAAUAUUGAAUCCUUCUGUGUUGCUCUUUUGGUUGUCCAUAUUAGACAUAUACCCAAAUAUACCACACGUUGAAUUCUUAAGAACACAAUUUGCUAUGCAUCUUUAAUCAUGACAACAUCAAUGGAAACUUUCAAACUAUAAUUCUUUUAUUGAUUCAAAUUUGAAUAGAUGAAGAAAAAAACACAUGGCAAUGUGCAUAUAUAAACAUGAUAGCAUUUCCGAUGACAGCACAACAUGGAGUCACAUUGAUACUGAUACAAUUACACUUUUGAGUUUUGUGGAAUGGAGUCACAUUUUCUUUUUCUCCACUUUUCUUCUGCUUUCAAAUUUCAAUUAGUUUUGGGUACACAAUCAUACCAAAAAAAAGCCAAUUGUCAAGAAAGAGUUCUAAAGUUUGGUCACGUCGAGCACCCUUCCGUUGAUAGGAUACACGGGUCAAAGUGAAGACUUGAGUUCAGAGAUGAAGUUGGCUCGCUCAUUGAAUUGUUGUGGUGCUGUGGAAUCUUGACCUCUAUCUCUAUUCGUGCAAGAAAGAAAUAGAAUUUGUUGAGGCGGAAUUUGAACAAUUCAAAGAAAAAACCGCGUUCCACCACACUAUAGGGGCUUUGGCCAAAGAACCUUCGAUGCCAAAGUUAGAAUUUGAGAGAGAAAGUGUAUAGAGAAUUUUGGAAAAGAAUGAACUUAGGUUUUUGGCAGAAAUGGGAGCUAUUUAUAGGGGUGUGGCCGGCCCCUAUUUGGAGAAAAGGGAUCCGGCCACUUAUGGUGGUUUUUGGGUGUAAUUGAAAGAUAUUAUGUCAAAAUAAUAUGUUGCAAUCAAUUAGGAAAUUAAUUAAUUAAUUAGGAAAUUAAUCAAUUAAUUUAGGUAAUUAAUCCUAAUUUGAAUGAAUAAAUGAGGGUUACCUUGUGUGGAGGAUAUGAUGUGGAUGAAUGAUAUAGAUUUUGAAUAAAUACCUAUUUUGAUCACUUUUGACCUUGAUUGAGUCGUGAUUGUCCGCUACUUGUUUGUGGAAGUUUCGGUGUAGCCUGAGGGUAAUUUUGUCCUUUUCACCCAAAAGUACACGUGUCGCCUCCAUAACUUUCUUGAUUAUUUCUUACUCCACAAAUACUGCACAUCUUUUGGGCUGGUCACAGGAAAGGGCAACAGGUGUAAAGAUCUCCAUCUUUGAUGCAGAUUCUCACUUGGACUUGGAAUUAGAUUCUUCUAGGAAAGGGAAAUAAAUCACCUCCAAAGCCUAUUUAAGCCUACCUUAAGUAGGGGAUUAAAUCAACUUCGGAGGGCAAUUAUUUAUCCCUAUAAGAAAGAGAGAAAACUAGAGGAUAUUUGUUCCCCCUCCCCUAGCACUCUUCUUUGCUUGCACGUGUAAAGAACAGUCUUCCGUUGAUUUCUUUGUCUUCUCCGCGCUGCACCGAUGUAAGAAAAACUUAAUUUUCCUUGUCUUCUUCUUGGGUGGUGUUGCCACGGGAUAGCUGUCGGGGUGGUGUGGCACGUCGGCUAGCAGGGGCCAGGAGUUGACUUGGCAUGGGGCAAAGAUGUGGUGUGGUAGAGGUCAUUGCUUGUGCUGCUCGGCUUGGCUGAAGCUAAGGACUAGCUCGACAUGGGCCGAGGAAGUGGCGCGGCAUGGGCUGCUUGCCAAAAAUGAGGAAACUGUUUAAGUUUGAUUUCUCAGCUGUCGUACAUGGAGCAGUAAAGGAUAGAGUUGUUAAGAUCGGAGCAACUAAAGAUGAAAUGUCGAAUAAGCAAACUGUUGAGUCUAAAGUGGUUGUUGCCCCCUGACGAUUUGAUGCCUAGUUGGCCUUCAAGCAUUCGAUCUUUUGAGUUAUGUGGCCUUCUCGCACUGGAGAGCUUACCCAGAUGGGUGUCGGGGAAUUAGUUUACCCUCUCGUACUGGAGAGCAAUUAGUUUACCCUCUCGCAUUGAAGAACAAUUAGUUUACCCUCUCGCACUGGAGAGCAAUUAGUUUACCUUCGCACAUUGGAGAGCAAUUAGUUUAUCCUCUUGCACUGGAGAGCAAACCCAGAUGGGUGUUGGGGAAUUAGUUUAUUCUCUCGCAAUGGAGAGCAAACCCAGAUGGGUGUCGGGGAAUUAGUUUCCCCUAUUGCAUUGGAGAGUAAUUAAUUUAUCCUCUCGCACUGGAGAGCAGGCCCAGAUAGGGGUUUGAGCAGUUGUUGUAGACAGCAGUUGAGCCAGGCUUAUGAAUAACUUCUUGAAUCUUCAUUGCGAAUAAAGAAAUGGAUCAACCGUGCUGGAAGGUAGAAAUUGCAUAACAAAUUGGAUAAUCCUCGACUUGUGAGGUCUUGUUCGUCGAGCUACUAAACUUAUUUGGAAAAACACUAACGGGGUUCAGGGGGUGAUGGAGAUUUCCUUUGCUUAUGUAGGCUGUGUCGUUGACCUGUCAAGAUACUUGUCGCACUGGCCUUCAUUUGUCAGCUUCUCAAGGUACUGCUUCCAUUUCUGGCAGCUGUUGGUAGUGUGGCUUGGUCCUUGAUAGAAUGCACAAUAUUUUGUCUGAUCCAGCCUGGUAAGAUCACCCAUCAUAGGUGGUGUUCUUGAGCUUACUUAGAAUUUGGCCGAUUGGAACUGUGAACUUGGUGAAUGUUUCGAGCGCUGAGUCUUCUCUGGUUGAAUGAUGCUUCUUUACUGACUCAUUUUUGUUAGACUGCUUGACCUCGUCCCAUAAUGCGUGCUUCUCCGCCAAAGCAUACAAAGCUGCCAUGGUCAGUUCUUCUCCCAUGAUCAAUUUUUUAAAUAAAGGGUGUUCGAUGAGAAGCCUAUUUUUGAAUGUUGUCGUUGCUAUGCCUUCGAUAUAGCCAAUAAUCUUGGCCUUCUCUGCUUUGAACCUCUUGAUAUAGUCGCGAAUUGUCUCCUAAUGGUCUUUUACGAUGCUGAAGAGAUGAUCGGAUGUCCUCUUGAUUGAGCGGUUAGACGAAUAUUCCUUAGUGAAAACUAAGGAAAGUUCGUUGAAACUCCGAAUCGACUGUGGUGGCAGUGUGUGAAACCAGUCUUGCACCUUGCCUUGUAGAGUUGUGGCAAAAAAUUUGCACAAAAACGCGUUAUUGUUCCUGUAGAGGAUCAUGGUACUACAGUAGUGCUUGAGAUGUUGGUCUGGAUCUUCAUCUCCCUUGUACGGAGUAAAGUGAGGCAUAGUGAACCCGUGAGGUGGAUCUGUCUGUUUAAUCUUAUGCAUGAAUGGUGACCUGCUUAUGUUGGUCGUGUUUCGUUGAAAUGCAUCGUCAGUAGCCUCGUUGCACUGGAAAUCGCGUAAUCGUUCAAUUAGGAGCCUCUCAACUUCUUCUUGAAUUUGUCUCUGAUGGGGCAGUGGAACUUUCGACUGCCCCCGGUCGUGACCUAUUGGUCUAGGCCACUCUUCCUUAUGCUCAACUCGUCUAUGUCGUGGCUGCGGUGCAUGUGGCACAUCCAUGGCAAGCGAGCGGGCUAAUUGCAGGCUACCGGUUGAACUUGAGCCAGAUUGAGUGACUACUUUUUUCCAUCCGCCGUUUUGCCUACUCCAUUGUGAGGUGAAGAAUGCUCUUUGCGAGCCUAGUUGUGAAUAAACACUUCGCCUGAAAGGUUGUCCAUGUUGAUAAUCGGAGUGUGGCCUCAAACGUGAACGUAUGCUCAUUCGUGGGCUUGAUUGGGAGUGCACGCUCAUCCGCAUGCUAAGAUGAGAGUAUACGCUAUCUCGAGGAUCCAUGCGGGAGCGUCAACUGCUAGAAAGCCCGGAUCAUGGCUGGUUGAGAGGCUAUUUGCCUGGACGUUGCUAGAGAGGUUCGUCGUCUGCCCUUGUCAUGCUUCGGGAAACCUCGUCUAAAGCAUGUUGCAUCUCGGUGCAUUGCAAGAGCUGAUUCACCAAAGUCGUCUGCUGUGCGAGGACGCUUGUCAACUCUUUUACUUGUCGAGACAAGUAUGGUUCGUCAUUCGGGUUGGAAGAGCUUAGACGGUAUGCGUCUCAUUGAGUAGCGGAAGUGUAGUGGACUUUGGGUGCAAGAUUUGAGUUGGGAAAUGUCAAAUCUGUGGAUAAAUGGGGUGAAAAUGUCCCCAGUUUAAUCGUUGGUCUAGAAAUCUGAAUCCAAGACUGUUGAACCGGUCUUGGACUAGUCAGGAACACCAAGUGAGCCACGGGAGUGGAUUGGGUCUCGAAAGUGGGUCGUGUCAUGUGAGGGGCGCGUGGGCGCGAUGCGACGCUGAGAACGCAUUAGAUUUAGGCCAAAUGAAUGGUCAGCGCAGCUCAGGCCUGCAAUGCAUCUUGGGCUUGCUCGUGCUGGGCAUGGCUUGGCUGCCCUGCAACAUGGGCUGGAGAUUGGGCCACCUGCUGGGAUACUUGUGCGGCUGCUGCUAGCGCCUAGGCCUAGGCUUAGUCCUGGGUUUGGGCUGUUGUAGUGGCAGCGCAUAAGGCUAUGGUCUGCUACCAUCGAGCUGGCCCACUCCUCACUGCCAUGGUGGUCCCCGUAGCUACCAUAUUGGUGCUGCGUGUGAAUCAAACUCUCAAUGAAAGCACCAAUUUGUGGUUGCAAAUUUCUGCCUUCUUCUUCGUCUUGGACGAAAAUGCACCUGCAAAACAAUUAACACUUUAAGUCAAAGCCAAGAGCCUCACACGCCCACGAUGAAUGGGGGGGGCUUUGGCCGAAGAACCUCUGAUGCAAAAGUUAGAAUUUGAGAAAGAAAGUGUUUAGAGAAUUUUUGGAGAAAAAUGAACUUAGAUUUUGGGAGAAAUGAGAGCUAUUUAUAAGGGAGUGGCCGACACCUAUUUGGAGAAAAGGGGUCUGGCCACUUAUGGUGGUUUUUGGAUGUAAUUGCAAGAUAUUAUGUCAAAAUAAUAUCUUGCAAUCAAUUAGAAAAUUAAUUAAUUAAUUAGAAAAUUAAUCAAUUAAUUAGAAAAUUAAUCAAUUAAUUAGGAAAUUAAUCCUAAUUUGAAUGAAUAAUUGAGGGUUACCUUGUGGGGAUGAUUGAUGAGAAUGGAUGAAAUAGAUUUUGAAUAAAUAUCUAUUUUGAUCACUAUUGACCUUGAUUGAGUCGUUAUGGUCCACUACUUGCGCGUGGAAGUUCCGGUGUAGUUCGAGGGUAAUUUUGUCAUUUUCACCCAAAAGUACACGUGUCGCCUGCAUAAUUUUCUUGAUUAUUUUUUACUCCACAUUAUUUGCGUGAGAUUCACAUAUAUCAAACUAUAAUUGAAAAGGUUUUUACAUGUAAGAAGUCAAGUAGCACUAAAAUUUAAAAUUUGGUACUUUUAUAAGCAUGGAUAAAACUAGAGUACAAAAGUUUCCCAAAAGAAAUUUCUUUAUCAGUUAAAUUAAGGCUAGCUAAUGAUCAUUAUUAUAAUCGAAUGAUUGAUUCUUAAGAGAACUGCGUAAAGAAACAAGGGAACAACAAAAACACUAACGCUUGGUAGAAGAAUUCGAUGUCACCAGAACAGGCGAAUAAUGGACAUAAGGAUUGUUUGCCUGGGCUGUGCCUGGAGUUUCAGAGGGACGACUAUCCUGAUGAUAAGGGUCUGUCUCGGUAUACAACAACACAAAGAGAGAAAAGAAAUGCCGAUGAAUGGUUAGGAAAAGGUUAUGAAGACCUUCAGAAGCCGUCUCACUUAAAAGCAAUAAAUAAUAUGCCAACUUUUGUCUACUAAAGCAUAUUGUUGGAUAUUGUUUCAUAUACACUUAAAUUUGUUAUAGCAAAUAUAAAUUUGUGGAGAUUCUUCAGAAGUCCAUAUAUUAUUUUUAUCGAGAAGUAAAUAUGAAUGUAGAGGAAUUUGUAAAAAGCAAAUGAAAUGGCCUAAAUUAAUCCUUCCGAUGUAAUAAAAUAAAAUAAAAUCCUUUUGUUAAGCAUGCUUCACUUUUUGUCAUGUUCGAGAAAGGAGAAGCUGGUUUCAGUUCAAAACAAAUUAAACUAGAAUAGGUUUGGUGGUUUGCAUCCAAUGCGAUAUGUUUGUCUCUCUUUGAGAUUGUUCUUUGAUGUUUUCAAUAAUUUGUAGAACUUUAUAAUUUAUUUACCUUUAUUUUUUGCAUUUUAAGUUUCUCCAUUAUGUCACAUCCAGGCUCGGCCCCUCACCACAUCCUGAGCUCGACUCUGCUAUAACACGAUAUUGUCCGCUUUGCCCUCACGGUUUUAUUUCUAGGAACUCAUACAAGAACUUCCCAGUGGGUCACCCAUCAUGAGAUUGUUCUCGCGCGAACUCGCUUAACUUCGGAGUUUCGAUGAAACACGAAGCCAGUGAGCUCCCAAAAGGCCUCGUGCUAGGAAGAGAUGAGAAUAUACAUAUAAGGCUUACAGGAUCCACUCCCUUGGGCGAUGUGGGAUGUUACAAUCCAUCCCCCUUACGGGCCCGACAUCCUCGUUUGCACACUCCCUCUGAUACCAAAUUGUCACAUCCCGGCCCGGGCCCCCACCACAUCUCAGGCUCGACUCCGCCGUAGCACGAUAUUGUCCGCUUUGGGCCCCGACCAUACCCUCACGGUUUUAUUUUUAGGAACUCACACAAGAACUUUCCAGUGGGUCAGCCAUCAUGGGAUAGCUCUCGUGCGAACUCGCUUAACUUCGGAGUUCCGAUGGAACCCGAAGCCAGUGAGCUCCCAAAAUGCAUCGUGCUAGGAAGAGAUGGAAAUAUACAUAUAAGGCUUACAGGAUUCACUCAUUUGGGCGAUGUGGGAUGUUACAAUUACAAGUAUAGUUUAUUUAUUUAUUUUAAGUAUAAAUAUGCACCUAUUUAUAUGUCAUAUAAUAAAUCUAAUAAAGAUAUUAAAAAAAAAACCUAGGUCAACAGUUAGGACCCUAACGGCCGCUUGAUAAUGGUCUAGCGAUGUUUAAAGCAUUGGUGUGAACGGAAUGUUUUUGGAAAUCAAGCACAAAAUGUCUUGAUUAUACUCCCUCAGCUCAUUUCCGAAUCAUUAUUCCUUCGAACGGCACAAAGCUCAGGUUUGAAUGUUAAAACCCACAACCCUUAGGUUGGAUAAACUUUUCGAAGGUCGAACAAGGUGUUGGACUUCCGAGUCAAGGAUCCAUGUCCCUAUGCCCCUAGGCCUCCUAUCGCAACCGUGCUUAAUAGGACUCGAGCCUCCAAAUUGCUAACUGAACACGACGAAAUGGGUUAAAAGAUACUCCUCUAACACUAUCAAUUUGAAUUUUUUAGAUUCUUCUAACAACAUAUAUAUUGAUAAGUAAAUAUGGAUGUAGAUGAAUUUGUCAAAAAAAACAAAUGAAAUGGCUGUGGAUGCAAAUUUCCGCCUUCUUCUUCUUGAACAAAAUUGCACCUACAAAACAAUUAACACCUUAGGUUAAGGCCAAAAGCCUCACGCGCCCACGAUGAUUGGGGGGACUUUGGCUGAAGAACCUCCGAUGCCAAAGUUAGAAUUUAGAGAGAAAAAUAUUUGGAGAGUUUUUCGGAGUUUUGCAAGAGUGCGGACUUCCUUUUUUAGAAAAAAUAGGGUCAUAUAUAUAAAGAAUGGAGGUGGCUGGCCCUUAGAGGUUUUUUGUGUGAAAAUGGGUGAUUUAAUUAGUGAUUAAUGGAUUAAUUAGGAAUUAAUCUCCAUUUAUAUGGAAUAAUUUGUAGGUUAUGAAGUAAUUACCUAAAAUGAGGAUGGAUGAGAUAAUUUGGAAUUGGUUACCUUUUUUGGACACUCUUGGCCUGAUUAACGAAUGAUUGUCCACGGCUCGUGCGUAGGACAAUCGGUGUGUCUCAAGGGUAACUUUGUCAUUUUACCAAAAAUCCACGUGUCGCCUUUUGAUUAUUUUUGGCUCCACAAUGGCUAAAUUAAUCAUUGCAAUGGAAUAAAUAAAAAAUUACUUUUCAUAAGCAUGCAUCACCUUUGGAUAUGUUGGAGUUUCUAGACAGGAUGAGUUGGUUUAUUAAACUAGAAUAGGUUUGGUGGUUUGCAUCCAAUGUGUUAUUAGUUAGUACGUAAGAGAAAAAACAAAAACUAAAGGACCAGAAAACUAAACACGUCAAAACACAUGGGUUUCUUUACCUUCUGUGCUCCUAAAUUUAGACCCAUACCCCCUCCUUGAGUUGUUUAUAAUAUGAUCUCCAUUCAUCCAUUUCUUAAACCAAACGAAUAAUUUAUAAUCACUUUAGCAUCAAUUUAAGAAACAUACACCUUGAGCAAUGGAGUCCUCAAUCGGAUAUGCAACUUUCAUUGCAUCCUUGCUCUUAUGUCUCUCAUCGUUUCCAACACCAUUUGCAAAUGCACGAGCGUCUCCAUUAAUUAGAAGUGUUUGCAAGCAAACCCAAGACCAAUUUGGCUACAACUACAAGCAAUGCAUAAAAUCUCUUUGGAAAGAUAUUCCAACUCGAUCAGCAUCUAAUCUCAAAGAUCUUAACACAGCCAUUCUUAAAUUAGCACUAACAAAUGCACAACAAAGCAAAGCUUUCUUUAUCAAUGCACUCAACACCACCGGCAACAAUAUUGUUAACGGCUCCGGAGCAAUAAAACAAUGUGCAGAUUCAUAUGAUUUUGCGGUAGACGGUUUCGCUUUCUCAGUGAGAGGGAUCAAAGAUAAUGACAAAUCAGUCUCCGAAAUACUCACACAAGUACAAGAUGAAAUUGUUCGUUGCGAAAAGGCAUUGACCUCUACCGAAAUUGAACUUCCUUAUUUAGUAUCUUCGACAAACUUUUUGACCAUGUUAUAUAGGGAUGUUGCAUUCCUCAUUACUUCCCAGUUAUUCCAUAUCUAGAAAAGAUACGUGAACAAUGUAUUAAAUUCAGUACGCAUUACUUAAAUACUAAAUAAUAUACAUAUAAUUAUUGUAUGUUUAAUUUGUAAAAGAAAAGAAAAGAAUGAAAAAUUAAUGUAAGAAAACAAAAAAUUGUUUUAAUAUUGAAUCCUUCUAUGUUGUUAUUUUGGUUGUCCAUAUAUACUACACAUAUACCCAGAUAUACUACACGUUGAAUUCUGAAGAACACAAUUUGCUAUGCAUCUUUAAUCUUGACAGCAUCAGUGGAAACUUUCAAACUAUAAUUCUUUGUUGAUUAUUCAAAUUUGAAAAGAUGAAGAAAAGAAUGCAUGGCAAUGUGCGUAUAUAACCAUAAUAGCAUUUCAAAUGACCGCACAAAAUGGAGUCACAUUGAUACUGAUACAAUUACACUUUUAAGUUUUGAGAUUUGGAUUUUCUUUUUCUCCACUUUUUUACUGCUUUCAGUUUUCAAUGAGUUUUGGGUAUACAAUCACACAGAAAAAGCCAAUUGGCAAGAAAGAGAUCUAAAGAUUGGUUCGUUGAGCACCCUUCCGUUGAUAGGAUACACGGGUCAAAAGGAAAACUUGAUUUCAAAGACGAAGUUGGUUUGCUCAUUGAAUUGUUGUGGUGUUGUAGGAGUCUCGACCUCCAUCUCCAUCCGUGCAAGAAAGAGACAUAAUUUGUUGAGGCAGGUGGGAAUUUAAACAACUCAAAGAAAAGGACCGCGCACCACCACACCACUUCCAACUCAAGGUCCGAUGCCAAUAUGCUGACUUCCUAGAAGUGAAGGGUAGUACUUUCUGCCAUUGGAAAACUGGUGGGUGCAUUCCAGCAAGUCGUAUUCCACUUUUAAAGACUAGAAAAACCUUAAUAUCGUUCACAUCCGUUGUAGCAAAAACAGAUUGAUAACUUUCAAUAUGGGCUUCGACUCCGAUAGUGGAAUACAUUAGGUUUCUAUAAGCCCUCACUACAUUUUGGUACAAAAUUAAAACUUAUGAGCUAGUUUGAUAACCAAUUCGUUUUAAGUUUUUAAUUUUAUUUUUAAUUAUAUAGAUUGAUGAAAAAUAUGUGAUCUGAAGAUUAAUGAAGAUAGGCGAAGGAUAGAUGGUGACAGCAGUAUGAAUCGAUGUUCUAAAAAGCAGUCUAGACAGCUAGCCAGCACCACGAUUAAUUACUAAACGGUUAGAAAAUCAAGUAUGGCAUCUACGUGGGUCUAGGCAGAAUAAGUGUUAGUUUUGUUUUAAUUAACUUUGAGUCUUGACUCACCCUUUCCCAGACAAAAAAAAAAGAAACCAAGAAUGUGAUGUGGUCGUCUCUCUUUGCGAUAGUUCUUUGAUAUUUUCAAUCAAUUGUAGUACUUUAUAUAAUUUAUUUAUAUUUAUAUUUUUCAUUUUAAGUUUCCCCAUUACAAUUAUAAUUUUUACUUAUUUAUUUUUUUAAAUAUAUAUAUGCACUUAUUUGUAUGUCAUAUAAUAAAUUAAAUUAAGAUAAAAAAAAAACCUUAGGCCACUAGUUAGAACCCUACCCGCCGCUCGAUAACGACCUAACGAUAUUUAACACAUUGGUGUGAAUGGAAUAUGUUUGGAAAUCAAACACAAAAUUUCUUGAUUAUGCUCCCUCAGCUGAUUAUCAGAAUGCCCAUUUGCUUAUUCCUUCGAAUGGUGUAAGGCCCAAGUUUGGAUGUUAUAAUCCACAACCCUUAGGUUCCAUAAACUUUCCGAAGGCCGGAUGAGGCGCUGGACUUCCAGGUUAGGGGUCCAUGUCCCCAUGUUCAUAGGCCGCCUAUCGUAACCUUGCUUAAUAGGGCUCGAUCCUCCUAAGCUGCUAAUCGAACACGACGAAAUGGGCUAAAAGAAACUCCUCUAAUACCAUCAAUUUGAAUUUUUUAGAUUCUUCUAACAUCAUAUAUAUUGAUAAGUAAAUAUGGAUGUAAAUGAAUUUGUAAAAAAACAAAUGAAAUGACUUAAAUUAAUCCUUGCGAUGUAAUGAAAAAAUCCUUUUGAUAAGCAUGCAUCACUUUUGGUUAUGUUGGAGUUUCUAGAAAUGAGGAGUUGGUUAUUUAAACUAGAAUAGGUUAGGUGGUUUGCAUCCAGUGUGUUAUUAGUUAGUACGUUAAAGAAAAAACAAAAACUAAAAGACCAGAAAACUAAAGUCAAAAGAAAUGGGUUUCUUUACCUUCUGCACUCCUAAAUUUAGACCCAUACCCGCUCCUUGAGUUGUUUAUAAAUAUGAUCUCCGUUCAUCCAUUCCAUAAAUCAAACAAAUAUUUGUAAUCACUGCAUCAAUUUAAGAAACAUACACCUUGAGAAUUGGACUCCUCAAUCGGAUAUGCUACUUUCAUUGCAUCAUUGCUCUUAUGUCUUUCAUCGUCUCCAACACCAUUUGCAAAUGCAAGAGCGUCUCCAUUAAUUAGAAGCGUUUGCAAGCAAACCUAAGACCAAUUCGGCUACAACUACAAGCAAUGCGUAAAAUCUCUUUGGAAAGAUAUUCCAACUCGAUCACCAUCUAAUCUCAAAGAUCUUGACACAUCCAUUCUUAAAUUAGCACUAACAAAUGCACAACAAAGCAAAGCUUUCUUUGUCAAUGCGCUCAACACCACCGGCAACAAUAUUGUUAAGGGCUCCGGAGCAGUAAAACAAUGUGCAGAUUCAUAUGAUUUUGCAGUAGACGGUUUCACUUUCUCAAUGCGAGGGAUCAAAGAUAAAGACAAAUUGGUGUCCCAAAUACUCACACAAGUACAAGACGAAAUUGUUCGUUGCGGAAAAGCAUUGACCUCUACCGAAAUUGAAAUUCCUUAUUUAGUAUCUUCGACAAACUUUUUGACCAUGUUAUAUAGGGAUGUUGCAUUCCUCAUUACUUCCCAGUUAUUCCAUAUCUAGAAAAGAUACGUGAACAAUGUAUUAAAUUUAGUACGCAUUACUUGAAUACUAAAUCAUAUACAUAUGAUUAUUCUAUAUUUAUUGGUAAAAGAAAAUAAAAUGAAAAAUUACUGUAAGAAAACAAAAAGUUGUUUUAAUAUUGAAUCCUUCUGUGUUGCCCUUUUGGUUGUAUAUUAGACAUAUACCCAAAUAUACCACACGUUGAAUUCUUAAGAACACAAUUUGCUAUGCAUCUUUAAUCUUGACAGCAUCAGUGGAAACUUUCAAACUAUAAUCUUUUAUUGAUUAUUCAAAUUUGAAUAGAUGAAGAAAAAAACACAUGGCAAUGUGCAUAUAUAACCAUGAUAGCAUUUCCGAUGACCGCACAACAUGGUGUCAUAUUGAUACUGAUACAAUUACACUUUUGAGUUUUGAGGUUUGGAUUUUCUUUUUCUCCACUUUUUUACUGCUUUCAGUUUUCAAUGAGUUUUGGGUACACAACCAUACCAAAAAAGGCCAAUUGUCAAGAAUGAGUUCUAAAGUUUGGUCACGUCGAGCACCCUUCCGUUGAUAGGAUACACUGGUCAAAGUGAAGACUUGAGUUCAGAGACGAAGUUGGCUCGCUCAUUGAAUUGUCACGGUGUUGUGGAAUCUCGACCUCCAUCUCUAUUUGUGCAAGAAAGAAACAGAAUUUGUUGAGGCGGGUAGGAAUUUCAACAAUUCAAAGAAAAAACUGCAUUCCACCACACUACUUCCAACUCAAGGUUUGGUGCCAAUAUGCUGACUCUCCUAGAAGCGAAGGGCAAUACUUUUCACCAUUGGAAAAUUGGUGGGUGCAAUCCAGCAAAUCGUAUUCCUCUUUAAGAGACUAGUAAAACCUUAAUAUCGAUGACAUCCGUUGUAGCAUAAAUAAGUUUCAAUUAGAUCUUAUUUCUUUUAGGGCUAACUCAUGACUUCAUGAAUUUGACGGGUGGUGUUGGAAAAUAUAAAGAAAGGUAUUUUAGAGAUUUGAUUUGAUAUGAUUUAAUUUUAUUUGGUCUAGGUUUCCUUGUCUUGUGGACAAUGAUUGUUUUGAUUUAUUUCAUAGUAUUCCUCUUUUGUAAUCUUAUAAAUACCUCCUUAUGGAGAAGAAUAAAAUAUUUAAGUUUUAUUCGAGAAUUAUGAGAUUGUAGAGAACUCCAAAGUUAUCUUAAAUCCUUUAUUUUCAAACACACACACAAAGCAAAGUUUGUGUGAGAUACGUUCAUUCUGUUAUAAAUCAAACAACUGAAUUGCUAGCUGAGAGUAAAACUAAUGUAAAAAAUGGCCGAACGAAAUAGACCUAAAGAAUAUGAAAGGGCGCAGCAGUAGUUUACAGAUUAGGCGUCUGUGCUCCGUUUUGGGUCCAUAAUACCUUGUCGAAAAGAGCGGGGCGUCCUAGUUUAAACUCACUGGUUUGCUAUGAUAUAUUGAUGGAUUUUAGGGCCGUUUGGGCUUCCAAAACUACAUUUUAAAUUCUGUAAUAAAAAUCGAAUCUUUCUAUUUAAGUAUGAUUUAUGUUGUUCUUAUUCCCAAAACCCUUGAGCCUUUCCGAGGCUGUUUUUAAGUCUAUUUAAGUCAUUUGGCUCCCAAUGUAAUGCAUCAACUUAGAAAAAAUCUAGACAACCUUUCGGUUUUAUCCCAAUCUCUAGUGGAUCCCACAAACCUUUGUUCUUCAAGAUUUAUAUUCGUAAUCCUUCUAUGCUCGUGCUGCAUCAAAAACUGUUUAGCUGAUUCGAAAUAAAAUGGAAGCCAUAUAUAGAAUUGUGUUAUUUGGGGUUUUCCUCUGCUUGUUUUCAAGGGUCGUUGAUGUAAAAAUUAAGGAGAGUGAUUUCUACACACUACAUAUGCCCUUGUAUUUCUGAUCUGUGGAUUAAAUAAAUGAAAGGAGAAUCAAGGGACCAUAAAUAAACAAGGAUUGCAGAAGGAGAAAGCGUUUGCGGAAAUAUUUUCCCAAGAUAUUAAUGCUUCCCAAAUCGAUAUGAUACUUGCUAGAGAGUUGAUUAAAGAUACUCUGUUCUUUUGUGUCUUAUGUAUAAAGCUUCAACUAACUUUAGGUACGUUUGGUUCUCAUAAAAAGCUUUAGAAAAUAGCAGAUGAGCAAAACCAGAAUAUGGGAAAGUGUGCAUAAAAAUUUAACGGGGGUGUUAAAGUUUUACACUGCAAUCUGUUUGAAAUAACUCGAGUUAGCAUCCUUUGGAUCCAACUAAUAUCGCUAAACUACUUAAUACUCAUUAGUUUCAUAAACAAAAAAAUUGGAUCCAAGAUGGAUACCAAACAACCGUUCCUUCAGUUUAGAUUCCUGAGGGCUUUGUCAUAGGAUAUGAACCCCAUGAACCAGAAUUCAUGACCAUCCCUUGUGACAAUCUGUAUAUAUUUUUCUGAAGGGUUCCAUCUGUUUGCUGAAGGAUUUACUGUUCUUAACUGAUCAAGCCGCACCACCGCCUACGUGAGAUUAACAAACUUGUUAGACGAUUGAAAAACUUAAGAAUUCGAAUUUUAUGUCCACUAGAAUAUCUACCUUGUAAUGCAUGAGAGUUUGAUUUCCUGGGCACAAAUAGUAAGAGAAAUUGCUGCAGAAGGCUAUUCGUUAUCGGAGAUGUACAGCAUCCCAAUCACAGGUCCAUGAGAAGUUGAUAGAUAGCAAGCAUAUGAAUGUAAGAGCUUUUCUCCUGUCAUUUUUUCGUAUGUCUGCUGAAACACUUUUUCUUCUGCUUCGGCAGUAAGCACCUUUGUGCCGGUAUUUAGCCUUGCCAUCAUUACGUCUGUGAAACUCGGGCACGUUCUCACUGUGAAACUCGGGCACGUUCUCACUGUCACGAAAUGAAGAUCGAUUAAGAUCAAUCAAUUCAAAAUUUCUGUAGGCUCUACCAAGAAAGAAAACUUAACAAAUUGGCAUUUUUCUUCUAUUAAACUUGAUAGCAAGGGAGAAAUUAACAUAGGAAUUCAUUUAGAGAGAAACUCACGGUGGUUCCAGACAUUGUCCGCCUUGGCCUCUGCUCUUCUGGUGGCAACUUCAACCCUUUUACCGCACUAGCACAAUGCCUCAACCAUAUUAGCCAUCGAACUAGCAGCAGAAAGUAAUAAAAAUUAAAAAUAAAAACGAUCAUUCGAACUUAUUUGUGGUUGCAAAUUUCCGCCUUCUUCUUCUUGGACGAAAAUGCACUUGCAAAAUAAUUAACACCUUAGGUCAAGGUCAAGAGCCUCAUGCGCUCACGAUGAAUGGGGGGAGGGGGGGCUUUGGUUGAAGAACCUCUGAGGCCAAAGUUAGAAUUUGAUAGAGAAAAUGUUUAGAGAAUUUUUGGAGAAUAAUCAACUUAGGUUUUUGGGAGAAAUGGGAACUAUUUAUAGAGGUGUGGCCGGCCCCUAUUUGGAGUAAAGCGGUCCGGCCACUUAUGGUGGUUCCGGUGUAGCUCGAGGGUAAUUUUGUCAUUUUCACCCAAAAGUACACGUGUCGCCUCCAUAAUUUUCUUGAUUAUUUUUUACUCCACAAAUGCCCCCACACCUACUGGGCUGCUCGCAGGAAAGGGCAGCAUGUGUAGAGAUCUCUAACUUUGAUGCAGAUUCUCACUUGGACUUGGAAUUAGAUUCAUCUAGGAAAGGGAAAUAAAUCGCCUCCAAAGCCUAUUUAAGCCUACCUUAAGUAGAGGAUUAAAUCAACUUCGGAGGGCAGUUAUUUAUCCCUACAAGAAAGAGAGAAAGCUAGAGGAUAUUUGUUCCACCUCCCCUAGCACUCUUGUUUGCUUGUCCGUACAAAAAACUAUCUUCUGUUGAUUUCUUUGUCUUUUCCGCGUCGCACCGAUGUAAGAAAAACUUAAUUCUCCUUGUCUUCUUCUUGGGUGGUGCUGCCAUGGGGUAGCUGUCGAGAUGGUGUGACAUGUCGAUUGACAGAGGCCAGGAGUCGGCUUGGCAUGGACCAAAGAGGUGGUAUGGCAUGGGCCAUUGUUUAUGCUGCUCGGCUUGACUAAAGCCAAGGACUGGCCGGCAUGGGCCAAGGAAGUGGCGUGGCAUGGGCCACGGUUUGGGCUGUUUGCCAAAAAUGAGGAAACUGCUUGAGUUUGAUUUCUCAACUGUAGUAGAUGAAGCAGUAAAUGAUGGAGCUGCCAAGAUCGAAGCUGCUAAAGAUGAAGUGUCAAAUGGAAACUGUUGAGUGCAAAGUGGCUACUCCUCCUCACCAUUUGCUGCCUAUUUGGUCUUCAAGCAAUCGAUCUUUUGAGUUAUGUGGCUUUCUCGCACUGGAGAGCUUACCAUAUGGGUGUCGGGAAUUAGUUUACCCUCUCGCACUUAUAUGGGUGUCGGGGAAUUGGUUUACCCUUUCGCACUGGAAAGCUUACCAAUAUGGGUGUCGGGGAAUUAGUUGACCCUAUCGCUGGAGAGCAAUUAGUUUAUCCUCUAGCACUGGAGACUAUACCCAGAUAGGUGUCGGGGGAUUAGUUUACCCUCUCACACUGGAGAGCAAUUAGUUUAUCCUCUCGCACUGAAAAGCAGACCCAUAUAGGGGUUUGAGCAGUUGUUGUAGACAACAAUUGUGCCAGGCUUAUGAAUAACUUCUUGAAUCUUCAUUGAGAAUAAAGAAAUGGAUCAACUGUGCAGGAAGGUAGAAAUUGCAUAACAAACUGGAUAAUCCUCGGCUUGCGAGGUUUUGUUCGUCGAGCUGCUUGAGACUUCGAACUUAUUUGAAAAAACCCUAACGGGUCUCAGGGGGUGAUGGAGAUUUCCCCUGCUUGUGUAGGCCGUGUCGUUAACCUGUCAAGAUACUUGUCACCGGCCUUUAUUUGUCAGCUUCUCAAGGUACUGCUUCUACUUCUGGCAGUCGUUGGUAGUGUGGCCUGGUCCUUAAUGGAAUGCGCAAUACUUUGUCUGAUCUAGCCUGGUAAGAUCGCUCUUCAUAGGUGGCGGCAGUUCAAACCAAGGUUCAUUCUUGAGCUUACAGAGAAUUUGGCCAAUUGUAACUGUGAACUUGGCGAAUGUUUCGGGCACUGAGUCUUCUCUAGUUGGGGGAUGCUUCUUUUCUUACUUGUUUUUGUUAGGUUGCUUGGCCUCGUCCCAUAGUGCGUGCUUCUCCGCCAAAGCAUAUGAAGCUACUAGGGUCAGUUCUUCUCCCAUGAUUAAUUUUUUGAAAAAAAAAGGUGUUCGGUGGGAAGCCCAUUUCUGAAUGAUGUUGUUGCUAUGUCUUAGUUGCAACCAACAAUCUUGGCCUUCUCUGCUUUGAAACUCUUGACAUAGUUGUGAAUUGUCUCCCAAUAGCCUUUUACGAUGCUGAAAAGAUGAUCAGAUGUUAUUUUGAUUGAGCGGUUAGAUGAAUAUUCCUAAGUGAAAACUAAGGAAAGUUCAUUGAAACUCUGGAUCGACUAUGGCAGCAGGGUGUGAAACCAGUCUUGCGCGUCGCCUUGUAGAGUUGUGGCAAAAUUUUUGCACAUAAGCGCGUCGUUGUUCUUGUAGAAGAUCAUGGUACUGCGGUAGUGCUUGAGAUGUUGGUCUGGAUCUUAGUCACCCUUAUACGGAGUGAAGUGAGGCAUAAUGAACCCACGAGGUGGAUUUGUUUGCUCAAUCUCAUCCGUGAAUGGUGACCUCUUUAUGUUAGUCAUGUCUCGUCAAAGCGCAUCGUUAGUAGCCUUGUUGCGCUGGAAACCGCGCAAUCAUUCAGUCAUGAGCCUCUCAACUUCUUCUUGAAUUUGCCUCUGCUGGGGCAAUGGAACUUUCGGCUGCCCCCGAUUGUGACCUAUUAGUCUAAGCUGCUCUUCCCUUUGCUCGACUCGUCUAUGUCGUGGCUGCAGUGCAUGUGGCACGUCACUGGCAAGUGAGCAGGCUAUUUGCAGGCUGACGGUUGAACUUGAGCUGGAUUGAGUGACUACUUCUCUCAAUCCGCCAUGCUACCUACUCCGACGUGAGGGGGAGAAUGCUCCUUACGAGCCUAGUUGUGAAUGAACACGUUGCUAAGGUUAUCCAUGUUGAUAAUGAGAGUGUAGCCUUAACCAUGAACGUAUGCUAGUCUGUAGGCUUAAUCAGGAGUGCACGCUCAUUCGCCUACUAAGAUGAGAGCAUACGCUAUCUCGAGGAUCCAGGUGGGAGAGUAAACUACUAGAAUGCUUGGAUCGUGGCUGAUUGAUGGGCCAUUUGUCGGGACGCUGCUGGAGAGGUUCGUCAUCUGCCCUUGUCAUGCUUCGGGACACCUCGUCUAGAGCACGUUGCAUCUCGGUAGAUUGUAAGAGCUGAUUCACCAAGGUUGUCUGCUAUGCGAGGGCGCUUGUCAACUCUAUAACUUGCUGUGACAAGUGUGGUUCAUCAUUCGAGUUGGAAUACCUUGGACGAUAUGCGUCUCCUUGAGUGGCGGAAGUGUAAUGGACUCCAAGCGUAAGAUUUGAGUUAGGAAAUGUUAAAUCUACGAAGAAAUGGGGUGAAAAUGUCCCCAGUUCAAUCAUCGGUCCAAAAAUCUGAAUCCAGGAUUGUUGAACUGGUCAGGAUCGCCAAGUGAGCCACGGGAGCGGGUUGGGCCGCGGAAGUGAGCAAUGCCAUAUGUAGGGCAUGUGGGCGGGGUGCGGUGCUGGGAAUGCAUUGGAUUUGGGCCGAGGGAAUGGUCAGCCCAACUCGGGCCUGCAAUGCGUCUUAGGCCUGUGCUACUUGGGUAGUGGUUUGGGCCUGCUCGCGCUGGGGUGGGAUCGACUGCCCUGUAGCGUGGGCUGUAGAUUGGGACGCCUGUUAGGCUACUUGCGUAGCUGCUGCCAGCGCCUAAGCUUGGGUUUGGUCUUGGGUUUGGGCUGCUGUAGUGCCAGCGCAUAAAACCAUGGUUUGCUGCCAUGAAGCUGGCCCACUCCCCACUGCCACGGUGGUCCUCGUGGCUGCCAUGGUGGUCCCCGUGACUGCCAUGGUGGUGGUGCUCCAUGGUGGCAAAAUUGCUCAUCUUGCCAUCGCGUUGAGCUUUGUGGAUCGUCGUGGUGGGGCUACAUCGUAAUCUCCAUCACUUGAUCCGGAUCUUUGAACGUAGGAAGUUUCCUUCUUUGUGGUUUCCAAAUUUCUUGUCAUUGUACUUUUCUUUUAAGUUUAUUCAACAAAAAAUUUACAUGAAAAAAUUCUAGGAAUAAGAACGUACGAAAAAUCUACGAAUGAACAAAAAAUGAGAAACCUUGAAUGCGAGAGUUUUCUUCACGCGUGUGAAUCAAACUGUCAAUGAAAGCACCAAUUUGUGGUUGCAAAUUUCCGCCUUAUUCUUCUUGGACGAAAAUGCACAUGCAAAACAAUUAACACCUUAGGUCAAGGCCAAGAGCCUCACGCGGCCACGAUGAAUGGGGAGGGUUUUGGCAGAAGAACCUUCGAUGCCAACAUUAGAAUUUGAGAAAGAAAGUGUUUAAAGAAUUUUUGGAGAUGAAUGAACUUAGGUUUUGGGAGAAAUGAGAGUUAUUUAUAGGGGUGUGGUCGGCCCCUAUUUGGAGAAAAGGGGACCGGCCAGUUAUGGUGGUUUUUGGGUGUAAUUGCAAGAUAUUAUGUCAAAAUAAUAUCUUGCAAUCAAUUAGGAAAUUAAUUUAGGUAAUUAAUCCUAAUUUGAAUGAAUAAUCGAGGGUUACCUUGUGGGGAGGACUUGACGAGGAUGGAUGAAAUAGAUUUUGAAUAAAUACUUAUUUUGAUCACUUUUGACCUUAAUUGAGUCGUGAAUGUCCGUUGCUUGUUCCUGGAAGUUCCGGUGUAGCUCAAGGGUAAUUUUGUCAUUUUCACCCAAAAGUACACGUGUCGCCUCCAUAAUUUUCUUGAUUAUUUUUUACUCCACAUUAUCUGCGUGAGACUUAAUGAAAUGACGUAAAAAAAAAAUUAUUCGCAUAUAUCAAACUAUAGUUGAGAAACGUAAGAAGUCAAGUAGCACUAAAAUUUAAAAUUUGGUACUUUUAUAAGCAUGGAUAAAACUAGAGCACAAAAGUUUCCCACAAGAAAUUUCUUUAUCAGUUAAAUUAAGGCUAACUAAUGAUCAUUAUUAUAAUCGAAGGAUUGAUUGUUAAGAGAACUGCGUAAAGAAACAAGGGAACAACGAAAACACUAAAGCUUGGCAGAAGAAUUCGAUGUCACCAGAACAGGCGAAUAAUGGACAUAAGGAUUGUUUGCCUGGGCUGUGCCUGGAGUUUCAGAGGGACGACUAUUCUUAUGAUAAGGGUCUAUAUAUUAUUAAGACCUUCAGAUGCCGAUUAAUGGUUAGGAAAAGGUUAUGAAGACCUUCAGAUGCCGUCGCACUUUAAAGCAAUAAAUAAUAUGCCAACUUUUGUCUAGUAAACCAUAUUGUUGGAUAUUGUUUCAUAUAUACUUUUCCGUUUUCGCUUAUGAUAGACACACUUAAAUUUGUUGAGAUUCUUCAGAAGUCUAUAUAUUAUUUUUAUCGAGAAGUAAAUAUGAAUGUAGAUGAAUUUGUAAAAAGCAAAUGAAAUGGCCAAUAGUUAGGACCCUAACGGCCGCUCAAUAAUGGUCUGGCGAUGUUUAAAGCAUUGGUGUGAAAGGAAUAUUUAUGGAAAUCAAACACAAAAUGUCUUGAUUAUAGUCCCUCGGCUGAUUUCCGAAUCAUCCUUGUCAUUAUUCCUUCGAACGGUGCAAGGCCCAGGUUUGAAUGUUAUAACCCACAACCCUUUGGUUGGAUAAACUUUUCGGAGGUCGAACAAGGCGCUAGACUUCCGGGUUAGGGAUCCAUGUCCCCAUGCCCCUAGGCCAUCCAUCGCAACCGUGUUAAUAGGGCUUGAGCCUCCCAAAUUGCUAACUGAACACAACGAAUGGGCUAAAAGAUACUCCUCUAACAUUGUCAAUUUGAAUUUUUUAGAUUCUUCUAACAUGAUAUACAUUGAUAAGUAAAUAUGGAUGUAGAUGAAUUUGUCAAAAAACAAAUGAAAUGGCUAAAUUAAUCAUUGCAAUGGAAUAAAAAAACAAAAAAACACUUUUCAUAAGCAUGCAUCACUUUUGGAUAUAUUGGAGUUUCUAGAAAUGAUGAGUUGGUUAAUUAAACUAGAAUAGGUUUGGUGGUUUGCAUCCAAUGCGUUAUUAGUUAGUACGUAAGAGAAAAAACAAAAACUAAAGGACCAAAAAACUAAACACGUCAAAAGACAUGGGUUUCUUUACCUUCUGUGCUCCUAAAUUUAGACCCAUACCCCCUCCUCGAGUUGUUUAUAAUAUGAUCUCCAUUCAUCCAUUGCUUAAACCAAACGAAUAAUUUAUAAUCACUUUAGCAUCAACUUAAGAAAUAUACACCUUGAGCAAUGGAGUCCUCAAUCGGAUAUGCAACUUUCAUUGCAUCCUUGCUCUUAUGUCUCUCAUCGUUUCCAACACCAUUUGCAAAUGCACGAGCGUCUCCAUUAAUUAGAAGUGUUUGCAAGCAAACCCAAGACCAAUUUGGCUACAACUACAAGCAAUGCAUAAAAUCUCUGUGGAAAGAUAUUCCAACUCGGUCAGCAUCUAAUCUCAAAGAUCUUGACACAGCCAUUCUUAAAUUAGCACUAACAAAUGCACAACAAAGCAAAGCUUUCUUUGUCAAUAAACUCAACACCCCCGGCAACAAUAUUGUUAAGGGCUCUGGAGCAGUAAAACAAUGUGCGGAUUCAUAUGAUUUUGCGGUAGACGGUUUCGCUUUCUCAGUGAGAGGGAUCAAAGAUAAUGACAAAUCAGUCUCUGAAAUACUCAUACAAGUACAAGAUGAAAUUGUUCGUUGCGAAAAGGCAUUGACCUCUACCGAAAUUGAACUUCCUUAUUUAGAAUCUUCGACAAACUUUUUGACCAUGUUAUAUAGGGAUGUUGCAUUCCUCAUUACUUCCCAGUUAUUCCAUAUCUAGAAAAGAUACGUGAACAAUGUAUUAAAUUCAGUACGCAUUACUUAAAUACUAAAUAAUAUACAUAUAAUUAAUGUAUGUUUAAUUUGUAGAAGAAAAGAAAAGAAUGAAAAAUUAAUGUAAGAAAACAAAAAAUUGUUUUAAUAUUGGAUCCUUCUAUGUUGUUAUUUUGGUUGUCCAUAUAUACUACACAUAUACCUAGAUAUACUACAUGUUGACCCUACAAUAAUUAUGGGCACUGCGCACAAUAAAUUAUAUAUGCCGUUUGAGGCCAACAAGCACCAACAAUUGUGUCCAUGAACCAAUAGCUACGGUGCAUCAACUAAAAUAUUGUAUGUGCCCUCUAUGGGCAUCACCAUUUGUCAAAGAGCACAAUAAGGUAUGCUGUGCUGAAAAGUGUAAGCACAAAUAAAGGUCAUUUUGUGCCAAGUUCUUACAAAGUUGUCAAAUGAUUGCUGCCACCCAUGUAUGUUAGCACAUUUAUUGUUAUUGUGCCCAAUAUGUCAACUAUUUUAAAAAAAAAAUUAAAAACUGAAAUCACCUACAAAUUGAGAUUUGAGGCUAAACAAAAAAAUUAUUUUUUCAUAAAAUUAAAACAGCCCACAACCACAAGCAUCUAUAAUAUUACAAUUUACAAAGAUAUUCUAUAUAUAAAAACAACUAUAAUUUUACAUGUUCUAUCCCCAACUAAAAUAAAACUAAAAUUAUAAAGGUUUUAAGUGAAUAUCGUUUCUCUCAAGAAUAAGAACAUCAAAUAUUAAGGUUUUAAGUUGUUUAUACCAUAUUUAGGGCCUCGUAUUUAGACCUCGUAUAAAUACUCGAGGGACUUAAAUGUAAUUAUGUAAUAAAGGAAGGGGCAAAUAUGUAAUUAGGGGAGGAGCCCUUAUUCUAUAAAAGGGCAUCUUCACCCUCACAAACCGAAGGCCUCUCCUAUCUAGAGUAAAGCUCUCACACUUUUAGAGCUCUCUCUCUCCCUCACUUCUCAGAGAAAUAUAAUACAAUCAGUGUGGACGUAGCCCAAACCUUGGGGUGAACCACGAUACAUCUUGUGUCAUUUACAUUUCAUGCAGAUUCACGAUCGGAUUUACGUUGUUCCAAGACCUCCGGUUUUGUGCAUCAACAUUUGGCGCCGUCUGUGGGAAACGACACAAAAAAUUACGUCGGUUCUCUCUUAAUUUUUCACCUCCGCCGUGGAUCUGCAGAAACCAAGAACCCAAAACUUUUCCAAAAAACCCACGGAGCCACCUCCUCUCUCACUCCACUCCACAAAAACAGAUAAACUCAUCUUUCACACUGGAAGUUCAAAGAACACAGUAAUGAAUGGGGCUUCAAAUCAUUCAUGAUGCUCAGUGAACUUUGUGACAAGACUGCAGGUUAUCUCGUGAAUGAUAAAUGCAUUGUUGAAGUGAAGGUCCAUAUUCCAAUAGACCAAAGAGCUAAUGGUUUUGCAGAAUCUGCACUUAUGGAGACCAUAAAGAAAGAGCGUGGUGGGCAGGAACCCUCACAUGUGCAUUCGGUGCAUACUCCAGAAUCUUUUCCGACACCUAAGACACCAAGUUCAGAACCGCCGACUCAUUUCCAAGAAACAUCAGGUCUUGAACAAUUUUGCACUAAGGCUAUUGUUGAAAGCCUUCCUGACCCUUCUCUAGUCAAUGAGCUUUUGGAAAUUCCCACUUGACAAGGACUACCAAAAAAUGGCGGUGGCAGCCCCACAACAGCGAUCUUCCCAGGUCAAUUGCUCAGUCGCUAUAAAACGCGUCAAUUCCUCGUAUUUGCCUUUUCCCCUGCCCGCUCCUUCCAUCACCAAGUUCAAGGUCACGCCGUGCCAAUUGUCGGGGACGCAGGAGAGGAACAUUGCCCACUUUCGGAAAGCCACCGAGGACGCCGCCACAUCAGCAACUACGCCCUUAGCCUUCUCAGUCGUAGCCGCAGCCUCUGCCUGUGAAGACCGAGGCUUUCCCUCAAAAUGCUCCCACAUCCGCCCCAGAAACCCCCAAAAAGAGUGCUCCGUCUUCUGAAACCAGGAGAAGAGGGGGGGCCAGGGGGUCUUAACAAAGUCUGUGAUGUCUCACCUGAGCGUGAGGCUGUUGUUGGUGAACCAUCCUUGCCGAGGACUGAGAUUGUGAAGCAAUUCUAGGCAUACAUAAGGAAAAACAACCUCCAAGAUCCAGAGCAGAUGAGAAGAUGGGAGGGGGAAUAUGCUGCGCUCUACUCCUCCAGCUUUGCCAAAGGUACGGAGAUGAAUCGGGCGGCACCGAGGAUACCCAGGUUUCUAGUGAUCGGACACAGAGUGAACGGAAUGAACGCGCUAUAGUCGUCCGAUCGGAGAAUGAAAGCCAUUAAAGAGAACUCCAUCAUGUCCUUCAACACCGCCGCCAGAUUCCCCAUCGAUUUUGUCGAAAUCGAUGUUCAGGUAACCAAAGAUGAUUGUCCAGUCAUUUUUUUAGGUAACAGGAAAGUGUGGACAUGGGCGUACUGCUCCUCGACGAGCUGCGGAGACCUUCGAGGAACCUCAAGUCUGUCGGUGGUGAGAUCGGACUGCAAGGCCCAACAGAAGCACAUAGGGGACAACAGAAAAGCUAAAAGAAAAAUAAAAAAAAGAACUUGAUGAUUACUGGAGAUGGCAUGCAUAAUACAAUCAUCACUGACAGCCUCAAUGUUGUUGAUAGAGUAACCACUUUCAACUCCGCAACUCUAGAUGGAGUACACCAGCUUGUGAAAGGAAAAAGAAAGUAAAAGCAAAGCAAAGCAGCGCAAGGAAAGAGAAAGAAAAGCAAAAGAGCAAAGCCGAAAGCGUGGCUACCCUUUCAACAUGAGAUCUACGGUGGAAAAAAGCAAAGCACAAAGCAUGGCUACCCAGUGAGAUAAUUACAAAAACAGAAAAGAAAAGAGAAAGCAAAAGCAAUGAAUAAACACCCCACCAGAAUGAUGUGGUGUGGUUUACUUUUCUUGUUUUUGUAUGAUGUAAUUUAUUUUACGUAUCUUUCGGAAACAUCUGUAUAAACCACAUCAGAUGGUAAUAUGUAUUAAACCCUAUCAGAGGGUAAAAAAAAAAUAAAAAAGCCCAAAAUAAAUAGGCUGGCAUGUUGUGGAGGGCGAAGGCAUAUAAGCCCAAAAUAGCAUCAACCAGGUGAUCAAAAGUACGCCCAGUACUCCAAAAUUAUUCAGCAACCUACCGCUAUUACCACCAACUAGGUGAUGAAAUGUACAACCCGUACUCUAAUAUUAUUUGACAACUAGCCAUUCAUGCCACCAACCAGGUGAUGAAAUGUACAACCCGUACUCUCCUUCAUGCCACCAACCAGGUGAUCAAAAGUAUGUCCAGUACUCCAAAUUAUACAUGAGCAUUACUCAUGUCAUUCAUACAUAAACAUUCAUGAGCAUCACUUAUGACAAUCAUACAUAAACAUUCAUGACCAUCAUUCAUGUCAACAUUCAUAAGCAUCACUCAUGUUAACAUUCAUGAGCAUCACUCAUGACAACAUCCAUAAGCAUCACUCAUGUCAAUCAACAUAAACAUUCAUGAGCAUCACUCAUGUCAAUCAGCUUCAAAAGUUUCAUUUACAAAGCUCUAGCUUCAAAAGCUUAAUUUACAGAGCUCUAGCUUCAAAAGCUUCAUUUAUAAUAGCUCUAGCUUCAAAAGCUUCAUUUACAGAGCUCCAGCUUCAAAGCUUCAUUUGCAAAGCUUCACCUAACAAAGCUUCAGUGCAAGGUAUACAAAUACCGCCUCCGAACAACCGCCACUUCGGCCCACACAUGAAUUCAAUUUGAAGUUUUCAGUCAAAAGACUCUAUUGACCGAAGACUUGGGGGACUACAUUAUGUACCAUAUAUUGGGCCUCAACUAGGCCUCAUGAAAAAUACUUGGAGGACUUAGCUCAUCAUUUAUGUAUUGAGGAGCGAGUCCUUACUCUAUAAAAGGGACUCCUUCACCGUCAUUAG
rnacentral:lncRNA from 1 species